rnacentral:lncRNA from 1 species
ACUAAUUGUUAGUGGAACAUUAGGUGUUGAGAUUUGGCAAAUGAAUUGCAUGCAUUUUUGCAUGCAAUUAGGCUAUAAAUAGAGGUGUUUUCAAAUGUUGAAGAACUUUUGCCUCUUUUAUCAUUUUCAUCAUCUCAACAAAAGAAAAAAAAAAACUUCCAAUCUCAUUUUAUCUCCAUUAUUUUCUACACCAAAAUUGGGUCCCACAACCCAGUUCUUUGUCUAGAGGAUAGCAGUUGAGUACUAGUGGUGGUCUCGAGUAGAAUUGGUAAGAAGACAUCAAACCUUUUGAAAGCUUCAAAGGUAAUACUUCUUAAAACCCUAAUUUGAUUAGUUUAUGGUUACAUGUUAAUUGUGGCAAUUAGGGUAGAAAUUCGAUUCUUUUUCCGCUGUGCAUGACUUAGUUCUAUCAUGUGGUAUCAGAGCAUGCUUCAUUUUUACCCAAUUGCAUGUGGUGGGUUCAUAUUUAUUAGAUAAAUUUUGGUUUGAACUAAAAUGGAUAUAUUAUGAUUUUGGCUCUAGAUUAAGUGUUUUUGUUCUAAUUAUUGUAAUUAGCCUUGUUAAUGGAUUAUUUUUAUUGUUGCAAAGUGUUUGUAAUUUUUAAAAAAAUAAAAAAAGUCAUUAGAGUUGAAGCUAGGCUGUAAUUGGUUCAACCGGGUGAGAGAAUUGAAAAAAAUGAAGAAAAGAAGGUCACAGACCCGAAAACCCGGCCUUGACCCGCUUCGCGACCCGCACGCGCCCUCCUGCAUCCGCACGCGCCCGCGCGCCCUCCUGCGCCGCGCGCCUGCCUUCGCCGCCCGACGCCGUGUGCGCCUGGGCCGGUUCAAGCCAAUAAAUUUGGUUUUUGGGCCGGUUCAAGCGAUUUCGGUUGGUUUUUCAGCCGGUUCGAAGUUUUUGGAAGUGGUUCUGUACUACACCAAAUUAAUUAUGUAAUAAUUUAGUACUUAGCUUAAGUUAGGAGCCAAAAAAUCAGUCCAUUUUAGGGUGUUUUUUUUAUUUGUGCAUGUGAUGUAUGAUUAAAUUACUUUAAAUUUGUAUGUGCAUUUUGAAUGUCAUAUAGAUUUAAAAUCCCACCAUAGGUUAACAUGUUCAUGCAUUAAAAUGUAUGAUAUAAAGGUUAUAUUGUAUUGUAUGCAUGUUAAUUGAUUAAUAUGGAAAUUAAUUAAUAUGAUUAAUUAAUUAUUUAAUUAAUUAAGUUAUUCUUGAUUAAAUAUGAUUUAAUUUAAUUAAAUAUGAUUUAAUUAAAUUAAAAAUUAAAUAUGAUUUAAUUAAAGUUAAAUAAAUUAAAAUCCAUAUUAAUUGAUUGUUUUUAUAAGGUUAUAUAUUGAUAAAAUGAUUGAUUAAGUUUAAAAGUUUUUAUAAGUGUUAUAAAAUAAAUUAGACUUUUAAAAUCAAUAACAAAGAUUAAAUGCAUGCUCACUUAGGUUAAACAUAUCUUCCAUUUUUCAUAGAAAUAGGUCGAUAUCUUGUAAAACUGGUUACAAAAGGCUCACCUGGUUCAAUCUUGUCAACAAGUCAGAUAAGAUGACUAAGGUUGGAGGUUCUUAACUUGAAGGUUUACGGAACACCUCCUACCUGGAGAUCGUUAUCAGUUCUUGAGCCUAGUUAACCUAGUUUUAUGAGCAUUCGUGAGAGGUGUGAGGUAAUAAAAAUGGUUUAUCACCUAGACAUCAUAGGUUAAAAUCCUAUAUAAUGGUUAUACUCGGAUGUUUUAUCUAGACUUAAAGAUUUGUUUAAGUUAGCCUAAAUAUAAAUCUUGAAGCUUGGAUUACCCUAUUUUUUUUCUUUUAGAACACUUCAACUAGAGAAAAAUAAUGUAUUUUAGCUCUAGUGUCCCUAAGAGUUCACACCGUGAGGUCCAUACAGGGCUUUGUGCCGUGCAUAGGAGCGGCCUCCCUUCGGAGAGUGUUUGCAUGGAUCAAAAUCAAGGUGAAUAGGGGAAGUAGUUCAUAGAAAGUGGGUGAGGGAUUUGUGGCAGCACAUCCCACGGUCUCUUUCAUUAGGUCGCACCGUAAGAUUUCUAUAAUAUGCCUGCUUGUCUGCCCUGGAGCGACGUUCCCUUCGGAGGGUUGUAUUAUAGGAUUCGGAACACCGCGAACUCCAAAACUGGAUAGGAUUUCUUAGAUUAGUUUUCAUAAAUGAUUCUAAUCUAUGAAAUCUGAAAAUGGUGGGUAACACUUACAAGAAGCCCCAAUACAAUCCCCAAUACAUUAUAAUGUGGCUUCGGCCAAGAGCCCAGAGCUCCACACGCAUUUUCUUAUACCGAAAGAACCCGAUGCAUUCUUUCCCGAAGCAAGCAUGUCUCUCCUUUCUACGGACGAUUAUGGCUUCGAUUGCGAGUCGAGAGUUUCCUAUAUAGGUUUUGAUCGAAGGAACCCGACGCAUUAUGGCCUAAAGCGGCUUGGCUCUCCUACUUUCUACGGGCGAUUGUAAUGUGUCUUCGACCAAGAGUCGAGAGUUCCCCAUGCAGUUUUUGUACCGAAGGAACUUAAUGAAUUUUGGCCCAAAGCGGCUUGGCUCCACUAUUUUCUACGGGGGAUUGUAUUGGGGCUUCUUGUAAGUGUUACCCACCAUUUUCAGAUUUCAUAGAUUAGAAUCAUUUAUGAAAACUAAGCGUGUGCGCACAGGGCAUCAAGAUGCUUGAUCAAUGCUUGCCUCACACACACACAUGCCAUUCAACCAGCAGUGUCGUGACACUAUUCGUGUGAAGUUGCACUACACGUUUCUUUGCGGUGGGUGACUUUUCACAAGGGUUUUCGACUCACACACUCCUACAUUCUUCCACAUGACCUGUUCACGACCUGGGUACAUACCUACGUCACUUGAUAAAUGGUAAAAAUAUAAGUUAUUAUAGCCUUUUAAGUAGAAUAAUAAAACCUUAAUACAUAAAAUUGGAACAAAACAUGUGGGAAAGUAAGGAAAUUGACUAAGUUGUGGAGUGAGGAUUACAAAAGAGUCAUAUGCCUGUUUAUCGCAUUUUAAUGUUUGAUUUCAAGGCUUUUAGACAAAAUGAAGAACAACCUGGCUAAAUAAUGUUAGUUGGGAAGGAUGUACGCUAACCAACCUAACAAUCACUAUAGUAAGACUAGGCGAGAUAAAGAACAAGCAAACAAAAGUGGUUGGCGCAAAAACCUACAACGGCCGUAGAUAUCUGUAAACCUGAUAAAGGACCUUUGUGGUGUCAACUCAGCCUUAUCAGAAUCAAUUAGAGGACAACAGAGAGAGAUUUCCCUUUUGUGUAAAGGCAAAAACCUAGAGCCAAAGAAUAUGAACACUCAUACUUUGCGGCUUGCUUUACUUUUUUGUGUUUUAUUUGUGUAUUUUAUAACAGUGAUUUGUAAUAUUGACUCCAUGAUCGAGAGGCCUAAAGCUUCAUUUAUGAUAUUGAUGUUUUCUUUCUAUCACUCUCCCAUAUUUUUUUAUCUCUCCAUUCAUUGCAUUUUUAGUUAAUUAUUUGGACAAUGUAGGUUGCUUUAACACUAGAGAUACUACUUGAUUGCAUUUUAGGUCAUGCUUCUAUAUACGUCGUUCAAUACCUUGUCUUCUUUGAGAGAAAAGAUUUAGUAGGUGAGUAGUGGCGGAUUCAUAAAAUUUAUUGACAGGGGGCUUCACUACUAGUGACUAUCAUCAAUUGAUGCAUGAUAACUCGUAUUUUGCUAACCAUACGUGUGGAGAUUGUAGCAAUAUAAUCUUGUCCUCAAAUUUGUUUCUUGCAUAUAUCCCAGAGAUGAAUGAUAUGUGUAGCGAUAGCACUGAGAGGUUGCUCACCUUAAUAAGUGCAAAUUACUUAUAAUCCAAAUAAACAAAAAAGAUACAAAUUAUAGAUUAACUCCAAAUAUUUGGAUCUUAAGAGACGAGCAAGUAUGGAGAAAGCACUGAGAAGUUCCUCACCUUAAUUAUGAAGUUAAUAGAUGUUUUAUAUUGCCUCGAAAUGUUAAACUCUCAUGUUUUACAUAUGAUUAGCUAAAUUUUCCUUCACUACCACACCAAACCACCGAGUCAUGUUUUAUCACACUUCACCACCAUAUUCACCUUGAUGCUCUUACUAGCACCAUUAGUGUAAAUAGCUAGAAAUUUACACUGUGCAUAUUUUAUACAAUAUACUCACUACAUAAGAUUAUGACAUGAGAUAAAUUCAUUUUUGGAAACUAAUUUCCUGUGUUCAACUAUGGACUUUUCACAAAAUCUCUUUCGAUGUUUGGAAUUGGGCGAGAAAGAGGAAACUUGUACUAAUGUUUCAUCAUCAUGCAUGUGGCAACACAUAGGUAAGGCGCACACCUUUUAUCACAUAACACUAACCUAGACGUCAUGUUUAGUCGCAUUAUUUGAGCUUUGCAUGGUUGACGAAGCUAAAGAUGUAUAUGCUAAAUGAUACAAUCCAGUAGAUCAAUUUAUGAUGUUAAUGCAACAAAAUUAAGUCCUUGGAGACCAUAUUAAUUCUAAAGUUAAAUUCAAAGAAAUUGUAGUAAGGAGGGUGCUUACCGUUUUAGCUUCAACUAAAAGAAUUUAUAGAAUUUGCCUUACUUUUUGUUUCGUAGUAAUGUAGAAGUAAAGUGCUGAACCCUAGAGAAUCUGGGGAAGUAGAAAUUCAAAUUGAAAUCUAAAAACGAAUCUCAAGAAGGUGGUUAGAAGACAAAAGAAAUCACUAAAAAUAUUGUGCAAGAAUGUAAAAGAGAGCUUUUAGUGGCAACAGACAAGAAGAAGAUUAGAGAAGACAAAUUUCAUUUGAUUCUUAUUUCAAAUCUACAAAGACAAUGAAUUAACUCUCAACAGAAGUAUUGUGGCAUGGAGUAUGGGGAUUUAUUGCAACUUUUAUGGGUGUAGUACAAGAGAAAAUAAGAAUGCUUACCAUUCGACUCUUAAUCAAGUCACCUUUUGAAAUCAACUUGCUUGAUUUUUCUUUGGGUGAUUUGACUAUGAUCCAAGAAUUGAGAGUAAUUCAAACUUGAAGUUUCUUUUUAUGAUUUGACUAAGAUCCAAGACUUGCUCUCUAUUUGAAAGUCAUAUCAUUCAAACAACGAGAUGACAUUACAAUAGAUGACAUUACAAUAGAUGACGUUACAAUUCAUAAGAGAAGUUCACAAUGGCAAGAUUGACAAUUGAACCAAAGAAAAUUCAGUCUAGAAUUCAUCUUUUAUUUUCAUUAAGAAACUAGUAUAUCUUACGUACAUAGAAUUAAUAUUAAAUUGAACUCAAUUUUAUAAGUUAUGGUUACGUAGAAAUGAUUAAUUAAAUUCAACUCAAGAUUAACAUGCUUAACUUUAAUUUUCAAACAAAAACAUUGGAACACCUUGCAUACUCAUACAUUCAAGAAACAACUAUUAAUUUUGUAAACUAAAAUUCACACAAUCAAACUCAUACUUUCUUGAAGAGAGUUAAAGAAAUAAAGCAUACUAGACUUGAUAACAAUUUGAAAUUUUUCAAAAAGAAGCAAACCCCAUAAACCCUUUACCUCAUUGGGAAGGUUUUUCCCUCAUGGAUAAUGAAAAAUGUUGCUGGAAUUGAAGUAUUGGAUAAUCAAAUUGAGAGAAAUUGAGAGAGAAAAUUGGCACAAGUUUUUUUUUUUUUAAAAAAAAUUAUUAUGGAAUGAAGUGAUUGAAUUGUUGUGAAUUGGGGAGAAAACCCUUAGGGGGGUCUUUAUAAGGAAAACAUAAGAAAAAACUGCCCUAGAAUUCGAAACCACAACCUCUAGGCUCAAGCGCAUGUGGAUUAACGGAAAAUUGAUGAUUUUCAGAAAGUUGUGACUUAAUUACAACUUUGCCACUCAGAAUUAUGUUAAAAAAAUGAUUUUGGAGUAUUUGAGGUUUGAACUUGUGAUCUGGAGGUGGUGUGCUUGGUUCUGAGGCUGACGCGUGUCACGCAUACUUUGAGUUAUUUCCGAAAAUGUAUAAGAAAAUAUUCCGUGUCCUUGGUUAUUCGCACCGGUGAGCUUGGGCUCGAAAAUGUUGAAAAUAAUAGGUGCUGUUGGGAUUCGAUCUUGUAACCUUCAUAAGAAACGAGGAAUCGCAUAAUUAUUUAGUCGAAUCACACUUCCCAGUUCCCAACCAUAGUCGAUAUGAUCUCGUAGGCCCACAGACUACAAAGAAUUAGAAUUACUUAGUAACAAAACCAAAGUAUUAGAACAUAACAAACAAACUUACUUAUUUGAUGAUUUUACCUAAAAUGGAUGUAGAAAUUCCGGUAUAUUGUACUUAAUAAUGUAGUCCUUACUAUUCUUAGACCUCUUUAUGUAGUUUUCGGCCUUACGAACCAAAUCUCGUUGCAAUUUCGAGAAUUUCCUCUCCUAUAGAAUGUUUUCCCAAUCAAGACUACUAAAGUAAUCAAUGUAUUCAAUGUCCAAGAACAACCUCAUGUCUACAAAGGCUCUCGCUUUCUCCCUACCCUUCAUAGCCAGCUUAGUGUAAUGGACCACUGUCAUCUUCACAGCGUCUACAUCGUAUUCAAACGCCAAUUUUCUGUUUUCCUCUUCAAGGGCUUUAGUGUGAAUACCCUUUGUCAUAGAAUUCUUGUAAUACAUGAGAAUUGUCUCUUCCGGUUCACAUUCAACUCUUAAAGCCCAUAUGAAUUGGGUGUCGACCACGAUCUUGUCACUAGUAAGAAGUCAUUCUUGGUAAAUGUCACUAUUAUGCCAUUCAAAUUGAAAGUAAUAACAUCCCUCAUGUUGUCUUUCACUUCCCCUAGUAGGAUAUAAUGAAAAAGUGGACCAUUGAAUUUUACGUCCAUAUCGAUGAAGCGACCGAACAUCGUCCUUUUGAAGAGAUCAAGCUAUGUAGGUGUAAGCUUCUCCUUCAUUGGCUAGUGUAAUGUUAAAAUAGUGGCUUGGCCAAGAAACCGAUCCUUCAAAUAGUUUUGAAUUGACUAGUCAUGCUGCAUAGGAAACAAAAUGAAAAAAAGAAGUAUGAUUAGCCACUAAUAAAUCAUUGCUCCUUGCUCCUUGUUUUACUUCGAUGCUUAACAUACUCGAAACUCGAUGCUCCUCACAUCCCACUGAACAUGAUACCUAAACUUGGUAUUCGACCACUGUAUACUUGUUACACGACAUCAUAUAAUCAACACCGAUGCUUACUACUUGUUCAUAAACAUAAUCCGUGUUUGUUAGCAUUAAACCUUAGUUCUUUGUAUUGAACAAGAGGGAAACAAAAGAUUGUGAGUAUGCUUCUAUUUUUGAACUCCACGAUGGGACAAAUGAGAUAGAAAAAUGAGGUGAAUGAUACAUUUUGCAAGUAUCAGAGACAUCAAAUAAGUAUGAUGAAUCACAUGAAAAUGAUGAAUAUGAUUUGAGGAGGAUAGAAUUAGAGCACCAAAAAUUUUGAAAUGAGGAUAGGAAGCGUUAUGAGAGAACAACAAAGAUUUUUUUUGUUUUGUUUUAAGUAUUCAAUUAUUGAAUGGGGGAAUCGAGGAUUGAGUAACGAGCAAGAUGAUAUCAUGCAUCGAGUGAAGUGUAUAUCAAGUAACUUAAAAAUAUAUCAAGUAUCGAGUAACUUAAAAAUAUAUCAAGCUUGUAUGAGCAUAUUGAAUUUGGGGGCAAACAUGUAACUUCACACGGUGCCGAUGUAAUCAAAAGACCAUUUUUCUUUGAGUUGAAAAAGGUGGACCAUUUUCUCGGAGGCCCGUACAAAAAAAAUAUCUUCAAUUUUUCUACAAACAUGCCCUUAGUUUUUCACUGGUUUCUAGAAAUGGAUCAUUGCACAAUAGCACGUUUAGGGUCAGGUUGUGUAUGCAAAAAUUUUAAUCUAUACUUCAUUAAUCUAUGAUUUUUUUUGGUUGAGAGUAUGUAUUGUGUGAUGAUUUAUUUUUACAAGCAAUUUUAAUAAAAUGGUCUAAUUGACGAAUUAAGGGGGAAGAGAAAGGGUUUAGGUUUGCGCGCAACAACAGUACCAAAAUCUCACUGUUGCUAGUCCACAGCUUCCUUCGUCAUAGCCAUUGUCCUCUUCUUUCUCCGGGUCAGUUCGUCCGUUUUUGAAGAAGUAAUUGGAGCAAUUAGAUAUCAGAGUUGAGUAAAUGUGGUAUCUCUGUGUGUUCUAUCACCGUCUUUUGGAUUAUCGGAAGGCCGAGGUCGAGUCUCUGGCCGAGUUGUUUGGUGAAAAUGGCGACCACAAAGGGAAGAAGUUGGAAUGGAAGCUUCCUCUUCACCAUCACCCUGAUUCUCCUUUCCAUUUCGUCGACCUCUCUUCAGACGAUAUCGCUCGGAACAUCGCUAACCGAAGUCAGCCAUCUCGUUUCGUUUUUGGUUUUUGUCUUAAUUGGUUCCAAUUUCUUUCAUUUACUUUCGUUUGGUUUGGUUUUGUGUAGGUAUACUAGUGAAGGGGAUGUAUGAACUCUGGGGUCAAGGAAGUGACUACGAGGAGCUAGAGGAGUCUAUUAGAAAUUUUCCGGAAGAACGGAAGUCGCCAUACUUACAACCUGGAAGCUCUUUCAAAAUUUCUGUAGAGAGCUUUGGGAAGGCUAUCAGCUUCCAGGAACAAAAUGAACGUAUUCAGGGGCUAGCGUACAUCCCUUUCAAGGUAUGAUAGUUUUUGUAAUCUAGUUUAAGCUCCCUUGUAUUUAUUUGUUUAUUUUUGAGCUAUUGAAAUCCAAUCGUUUUGCUUAUAAUGGAUACUAGAGACACUAUCGUUAUAGUUUGGAAUGCUCACUUCAGUGGAUGGAAUCAAAUUGAUGUGUGUUAAAACUCUUAUAAUGUGGACAGACUAUUUGAGCUUGAAGAUUUUGUUUAAGUGCUGAAUCAAAGACAAUCAGGCUAGAAAUUAUCAAUUCUGGUACCUCUCAUUUUGUAGGUAGAGAAUUGAUAGAUAAAACAAAAUUGCAAUGCAAUUUGUGAAUUGGAACUAUUGACAAGUAUAAGCACUGAGAAUGAAUUGAAGUAUUAUGGCCAAAUCAUAUUCGUUUGGCGUGUCAAUAAAGGGGGAGGGGGCAAAAAUGAACAGCAUUGUUGGUUAUAUCUUCUAGUUAGUAAUAUUUUUUAAAAUAAUAUUUUGAACAGUUUAUCUAAAAAAGAUUUUGUAAUAGAUAAAAAUCUCUUAACAAGAAACGAUUAUUAAAAAGCUACGAAUGAGUACAAAAAUUCACAAUCAAACUUGAGAAAUUGAGAAUUUAAGAACUUGUAGCAAAGUUUUGUUUGUGAAAUGGCUUUGGUGUUAAAGGGUUGAGACCCCAAACAUGAAUGUCCCUUCUUCCUAGCCUAAAAUCAAACUCUCCUAUCGAAGAUAGAAUUUGCAUUGUUUCCAAAACGAGGAAACGCAGAGCAGAAGGGUCUAUUUCCCACCCUCUGAUCUUCCCAAAAGUAUGCUUCCUUCCCUUUCCCAUCGCAUAACGAACAAGAUGGGACAAGAGAUGGCCAUUCAAUUUCUCUCUUCCAAUUAAACUUGUGGAAUUUUUCAUGGAGUCAGAUAAAUAAUUUUCAGUAGUUAAGGUAGGGAAAGGGGUUAAUGGGUUCUAUGAAUACAUUGAUAAGGUUGGAAGUAUGGCAGAAUUUGUGGUGGUGAAAUCUAAGUUUGUGAAAGCACCCAAAGUUGCCUCAAGAGCAACUAUUUGUUGCAGAAAAUUCAUUUUGAGAUUUGUCGGUUGUUGUUGAACCAUCGUCUGGGAAGUACCACUCUAACCUUGGAUGUUUAGUGACAAGCCACAAGCAAAUUUUCCUUUGUGGAAGGCGGAAGACUCACCACUUUCAACCUUGGGAUAAUUACCGGUAGUAGGAUUGAGGAAGUUCACUAGUUCGAUUGAAAUGGAGUAGCGCGGCGACUGCGAACAAAAAGGUUGGAAAUUGGGAGGUAGCGGUGUCUUAUAUUGUGAAUGAGAGAGUCUGUUGGAUUGCUGGUGACUGGGAGGUAGUGGCGCCGUAGGACGACAUUGGCUACUGAAGAACUACUACUGAGGAUCUGUGAAAGAGAAAGGCCAAUCAAGGAAGGGACCAUUGAAACUUGAUCGAUCAAUGGCAGCAGUGGACAAAUGGUAGCGUUGUACGAGUUUUCGAGUAGAGUUGGUGGUGGAAGGUAGGUCGGUAUUGGUUGACGGCACCUGUAUGGCAGUGGUAGCUUUGACAGGAAAAAUGGCAGCGACAGUGGUGAGGUCAGCAGUAGCAACAAUGGUGAGGUCAUCGCUGGUGGUUAAGGGCUCCGUAGUAGGUUUUCCAUUGGUUGAUUUUCGUCAAUGGUAGCUAGGGUUUCAUUGCUCUGAUACUAUGUUGAGAAGAGAAAACACAAGUUAUAUGUGAAAAACCCUAGUAUUGGGAGAAAAAACCAUGAUAGUAGCCUUUCUUAUUAUUUUCUAAAUAAUCAAAAGAAUUCAUGGGGAAGCAUAGUCUUAACAAAAAAGAUAAUAAAACUAGGGUACAAUAAAUUACAAAAUACCUUUAGGGAUAUAAACACCCAACUAACCCCUUAUUUAUGACGAAAAGAAAAGAAAGAAAAGAUGAAAAUAGAAAGUACUAUCCAUCUACUGAACUUCUUAGGGGGCGUUGGGGCAAGUAGUUGGUCAUUAUAGUCCUAGGUUAUUAUAGUUGAGUUAUAAUAGUUUGUGUUUAAUGUAGAUUGUUUUCGUUGUAGUUAUAAUAGUAUGUAUUUGAGGUGUAAACUAUUUUAGUUUGAAAAGGAAAUAGCAAACACUGUAAUAAAGAAUAAAAAAGGAUGAAUGUAAAAUAAUAUAAACUGUAUCAAAUAGUCAAUGCUAUAGCAAAUGGGGGUUUUGAAACAAUGUUGAAAGUAGAUAAUUGGGGAUUACAAAACAGUGUAUUUUGUUAAGAUGUUAUCUCUUUGGUCCUUGAUAGAAGGAUACGAUGAGGGCUCUAUGGGGGUGUCAACCUAGUUGAGAUAUUCGGGUGCUCCUCCUGACUCUUAAUUCUUUCCUUUUGGAUGCUCCUUGUAUAGUUCUCGUGUACUUUGAGAUUUAGUCUUGAUUUUAUUAAUAAAUUUUUUAGGCUUUUCUCCUAUAAGAAAAAAUAGUAUUUAUUGUAGCAAGAGGUGAUUAUUUUAGUCUUAGAUAGUCCUUGCCCCAAACGCCCCUUACUUGUUUCAUUCAUGCAAAUGAGAAAAUACAAUCAAUUUUCUUAAUUUUGUACAUUUGUUUUCUUCAUGUUUCACUUCCUGACCUGGGAAUUUUAUUCUUUUUGAAGAAACUUGGUGGUAUGUUGAUCAAUUGGGGCAGUUAUGCGACCUCAUACUUCAUUUAUGUUACAAUGGCAUUAAGACAUGGUCUCAUGCAAUUAUCAUGGCUUCACAUCAUAAAUGGUAUCAAUUAAGUGGUAGAAGUCCUAUCAAUAUCAUUUUCUUCAUGCUUCAUUUAUGUUACAAUGGCAUUUACAUUUGCAUGUCAAAAGCCAGGGGUUACAGCUUUUGGAGAUCUGGUAGAGCCAAAAGGCCAUGUAUUAGUCAAAUGAAUGGUAUGUAGUUCCACUGGUUGGGUUGUGGAAGCCAAACUUGUCUCAGCCGUUAAAUGUAUUUUUCUAGAUUUUGGUCCGACUUUAGUCUUUAUGGGUUCUUCAUGGGGGAGGGGGGGGAGGGGGGAGUAAAGCCUCUUUGCUGAUAUUUUGAAAGAUUUUUUCGAGCCUCUUCUGGUGUUUGGACUACUAUGGCACGAUAGCUACGAGGCUGCCGGUUGCAUCUUCUUGCAAGUCUCUAGAUUCACAUGGGUUCGUUAUGAGAGAGAUAUUUCGUUAUGCUUUGUAUUCAUAUUUCUUCGUUUUGGUUUUUUUUAGCUUAAAUUUUUCUGUUGGCAUUCUCUUAUUAGCUUGUCAUCUCUUUUGUUUGCCUAAUUUUAGCAUUUGUUGUUGUUGACUGAAUUCUUCUCUAUCUUUUGCUCUUAGUAUAACAUUCUUGUACUUUGAGCUUAAGUUUCAUUUAUUAUUAAUAAAGAGGCUUGUCUCCAUUUAAAAAAUAAAUUAAGUAGUAGAAGUCCUAUCAAUAUCAAUUUCUUCUGUUAGCUCUUCUAGGUUCUACAGGUAAUACCUGAAUUUUGACACUGUUUUUAAUAUUCAUUUGCUACACAAGCUCAACAUGUCAAUGUCUUCCUGUUUUAAUAAAUGGACGUGGAUGGAAUGUUUCAGGGUCAAGUUAAUUUAAAAAGUCCAGAUCAUAAAUUUUGUCUUUUGGAAACUGCUGAUUACGGACUCAAUAAUGGACUUCCACCAAUUGCUCAAAGGAGAAUUUUUUUUGGCCGGGAGGUCGGUGGUGCCGAUAGGAAGCUUAUACCAACAUAUCAAUUAAAAAGUCGCACUUAUCUUGGGCCAACUGCCAUGGAUGCUGAAAUGGCUUUCUUAAUGGCCAACCAAGCAUUAGCGACAUCUGGAAAACUUGUCUUUGAUCCUUUUGUUGGCACUGGGAGCAUUCUUGUUGGCGCAGCUCAUUUUGGAGCAAUGACAAUGGUAACUACUUUAAGGACAUCACAAUUUAUCUCAUAAAGAAAUUGUCUGAUUUUACAACAUUUGGCUGAUAGAAAACAUGUGGGUGACUUAAUAUUCUAAAUUGAUAGCUUUGAACACAUUCCUCUGAAGUCUUUUACUUUCUUUCUCAUACAUGACUUAUGGGGCUACUUUUUCUAUGCAUUGGAUAUUAUAUUAUAAGUUCGGGUUCAAUCUUGUAGCGAACAUUCAUUGCAUUCAGGGAACUUAAUUUAAGGUAGUUUUCAGUUCCCAUAGAAUGCGUGUGAGAGAGAUACCAUUUGAAUUCAAACUGACCAAAAUGUAUCAGGGGGCAGACAUUGACAUUAGGGUGGUACGUGAUGGUCGUGGCCCUGAUUGUAAUGUUUGGAGCAACUUCAAGCAGGUAAAUAUGUUUUAUAAAUUCUUAGAACUCAAGGACACAAAUGUACCACCUAAAGAAUAAAUCCUGUUCAAGUAAGGUCAUGCUUUAUAAUAAAAUUCUACAAUUCUAGGUUUAGAAAUUUUGUUCAUGGUGCUAGUCUUGGUUUAUAAUGCUCUAUGUUGAAAGUUUGAAACUCUAUGACUAACAGUAAAAUACAUGUGAGGGUGACAAGCAUGAUAAAGGAUAACCGACUGUACUGCUAGUAUUUUGCAUGUGCAAUUUUCUGUGAUUCAACUGAUUAUGAUAAUAUCAAAUUUUGAUGCUUUAUGUUCCUAUGUAUGAUCAUAGAUGUUUCAUGCUGUAAUGGUACUAAUCUGUUUAUUACUGCUUGCAGUAUGGAUUACCACCUCCAAUUGCACUGUUAAGAGCAGAUAAUAAUCUUCCUCCCUGGCGUCCAGGAUUGAAGGAGGUACAGCAGCAAUAUUUGCACCAGUACUAUUUAUUUAUUUUUCGUGGUGCUGAAGUUUCACUACCCUUGUUAUAUACUGAUGGUCACUAAUUCCUGUGGAUACUGCUUAACAUCUUUUUACAGAUUUUCAUUUACUUUUUAUUUUUCUUAACAAGAACCUAAUUUUUUCGUUGAGUAAAUGUUUCAAUGAUUAAAUGAAAAGUGACUGAUGCCUAAAGAAAAAAUGUAAAGUCAUAUGGAAGUGAAUAAGGAACAUAAAUGAGAAAAAAAAAGUCAGAAGUAUUCCAAAAAAAAAAAACUGAAAGAAUAAUCUUACAAAGAACUUGAGGCGCCAAUCAAAUUUGUAUCUUCAAAAACCAUAAGAGCUUAGAGAACAAAAAAAAAAAAAGAACCUAAUUCUCCCAUAACAAGAACCUAAUUCUCCUCCUACUAUAUUGGUGGAUUAUUGGUGGUCUAACAUUGCAUUCCCGGUCCAAUUUUACCUUGUCCUCAAGGUGGAAAUCAGGAAAAGACUGCUGAAAAUCGUCAUAAUUCUCCCAAGUGGCCUCAUGUUUUGGCAACCCCUUCCAGCUUAUUAAAACCUCCCAAACGCCUUUACUAUUCUUCUGAUAUCCAUAAAUCUCAUCAGGUUCAGGGUUUUCAGUCAAAAAGGGUACCCACUCCACCUUAUCCUUGCAUUCCCCAAAGGCUUUCUUCAACUGUGAAAUGUGGAACACUGGAUGUAUUGUUGCUGAAGUAGGGAGUUUAAGUUUAUAAGCUACAUAACCAAUCUUCUUCAGAAUACGAUAAGGACCGAAGUACUUAGGGGACAACUUCUCAUUCCUUCUUUUUCGCAUAGAAACCUGUCGGUAGGGUCUGAUUUUUAAGAAAACCAUAUCUCCUUCAAAUUCUACAUGUCUUCUCUUCAUAUCUGCAUAACUCUUCAUCUUUUCUUGAGCUAUUCGCAAAUGCUCCUUCAAAGCCCCUAAAGAGACAUCCCUUUCUUUAAGUUGCUCAUCAAGCGUGGAGUUUGGAGUCUCUCUGUCUCCAUAGUAAAUAAGGGCCGGUGGCGUUCUUCCAUAGCUUGAAAAGGAGUCACACCCAAGGAUCGCUGGUAUGUAGUAUUAUACCAAUAUUCUAUCCAAGGAAUCCACUUCACCCACUCUUUUGGUCUCUCUCCACAAAAACAGAAAUAUUUUGUCACGAUCGGAAACAAUGGAUUGGGGAAAUCCAUGCUGUCUUACUACUUCCUUAAUAAACAACUCAGCCACCACUUUAGCAUCGAAUGGGUGUUUUAGACUUAGAAAAUGACCAUAUUUACUAAACCGAUCCACCACCACCAAGAUAACUCCAUACCCCCACAACUUUGGCAGCCCUUCAAUGAAAUCCAUUGAAAUAUCUUCCUCACACUCUACUUGGAAUCUCCAACGGAACCAGUAAUCCCGCAGGUGUAAGGACCGAUGUCUUAUUUAUUUGGCAAAGGCACAUUCUUUGCAGUAUUUGUAACUUCUCAUUUCAUGCCCUCCCAAAACAGCUCUCCGGUCAAUCUCUUGUAUGUUCUUAGGAAUCCCAAAUGGCCCCUAAGGACAGAAUCAUGAUAGGUAUGCAUAACGUUAGGAAUCAAUGAAGAAGUCUUUGCAAUCACCAACCUUCCUUUAUAUCUAAGUAUACCCUGCUGUAAGGAAUAAUUUUUAACUUCUUCAUUCUGUGGCUUCAUGAUUAUUUCUUUCAACUUCCCAUCCCUAUCUACCUCCUCCUUAAUAAUUUUCAGAUCAAUCAACGUCGGGGCCGUUAACUGAUUAAGGAAUACCGUGGGUGGUACUCGAGACAGGGCAUCUGCUGCCUUAUUUUCCAAGCCGGGCUUAUAUACUACCUCGAAGGAAUAGCCAAGCAAUUUUGCAAUCCACUUAUGAUAUUGUGGCUGUAUGACCCUCUGUUCAAGUAAAAAUUUAAGGGAAUGCUGGUCAGUCUUGACUAUGAACUGCCUUCUGAUCAAAUAUGGCCGCCAACGUUGUACCGCCAACACUACUGCCAUCAACUCCCUCUCAUAAACCGGCUUGGCUCGGUCCCUCAUUGCCAAUGUGUGGCUAUAGAAAGCAAUAGGUCUCUUGUUUUGCAUCAGCACCGCUCCCUCUCCAUACCCAGAUGUGUUUGUUUCUAAUUCAAACGGUAUAUUGAAAUUGCGUAAAGCUAAUACUGGCAGAGUCAUCAUAAUAUUCUGUAACCUUAGGAAAGCUUUCUGAGCCUCAUCAUUCCAUUUAAAAGACCCCAACUUCAAUAACUAAGUUAAAGGUGCUGCAAUGGAACCAUAAUGUUGUACAAAUCGUCGAUAAUACCUGGUCAGUCCCAAAACUCCCCUAACUUCUCGUACAUUUGUUGGAAUUGGCCAUUGCUUGAUAGAUCUUAUCUUCUCCGGAUCUACCUCUACUCCUUCCCCAGACAAAAUGUGGUCUAAAUAUAUAUGCGAAACUACAUUUCUUUUUGUUAGCAUACAACUUGUGAGUUCUCAACACUUUUAAUACCAACUCCACAUGUUGACAAUGUUCUUCUACCCCUCUACUAUAAAUCAGGAUAUCAUCAAAGAAGACAAGGACAAAUUUCCUCAAAUAUCAUCUGAAAAUAUUAUUCAUCAAGGACUGAAAAGUUGCUGGUGAAUUAGUUAGCCCAAAAGGCAUUACUAGAAAUUCAUAGUGCCCUUCGUGCGUUCUAAAUGCUGUUUUUUCUAUACCUUGGUUACACAUCCUAAUUUGGUGAUAACCAACUUUAAGAUCAAUUUUAGAAAACAGAUUUGCACCAUUUAAUUCAUCAAGCAGCUCCUCAAUAACAGGGAUAGGGAACUUAUCUGGAAUUGUUACGUUAUUGAGCACCGGGUAGUCAACACAAAACCUCCAACUCCCAUCUUUUUUUUCUCACCAAAAGCACCGGACUCGAAUAAGGACUUGUACUGGGACGAAUAAUUCCAGACGAUAAUAUUUCAUCUACUAGUUUCUCCAUCUCUUCCUUCUGUUGAAACAUGUACCUAUACGGUCUAACGUUUACUGGAUCUAUUCCUCCCUUCAAGUGUAUAUGAUGCUUGAUAUCCCUCCUUGGGGGUAAUUCUUCCAGCCACUCGAACACAUCCUUAUACCGUGCUAACACAGAUUGAACUUUCUCCUGCCUUGUGUUUGCCGCUUCCUCUUCCUGUCGGCCAAUAUCAAUAAUCCUUGCUUCCAAGGCUCUGCAUUCCACCAAAUAUCCUUGGUCCAAGUUGGUCCAAGACUUUUUCAAACUAACUUGAGUCUUUGUUAAACUGGGAUCCCCUUAAUUAUCACCUUCCUGUUUUCAUGAAAGAAGGUCAUGAUAAGGUUUUUCCAAUCCAUUUCAGUCACCCCUAAGGAGUAUAGCCAUUGCAUCCCAAGUAUUACAUCCACCCCUCCUAACUCCAAUGGCAAAAAAUUCUCUAUUACUUCCUAACCGUCAAGGUCAACUUCCACCUUCUCACAUAUCCCCCUCCCUUUAAUGGCAGUUCCCGAUCCAAAAAUAACUCCAUAAUUGGAGGUAUCCUUUGUGUUCAACUUCAGCAUCAACACCAGCUUGUCUGAAAUAAAAUUAUGCGUGGCUCCGCAAUCGAUCAACACAAUGACUUCUCUUCCUUGAAUUUUCCCUCUAACUUUCAUGGCACCAGGAUUCGUCAGCCCCACCACCGAAUUAAUACAUAAUUCGACUACCCCUUCUAUUUCGCUUUUCAACUCCAUAGUGCACAACUCCCUUUGCUCAUAUACGUCUUCCUCUAUAAUUUCUUCUUCUACAUUAUCUGCCCGAAUCACAAACAUUCGUAGCUCCCUUAUUUCUUUUGCCUUACAUUUAUGCCCCGAGUAGUAUUUCUCAUCACAUUUAAAACACAAUCCCUUCUCUCUCUUGGCUUGAAAUUCGACAUCUGAUAAACGCUUAGAUGGCCUUUCCUUUUUAUUCUCAUUGGUCGUUGAUCCUCUCAAUGUAAUGGUUCUUAUCGAAAAUACAACGUUACCUCUGUUUUUCUGAUAAUUAUUUGUUGCAUUCGACUUAGUAUGAACAUAGGGGUAAUAUGGGAAUUUCCCUCUAUUAUAUCUCGGUAAAUUUGCUUCCUUCCUUAAAAUCUCCCUAUUCUCUACCAUUUGAGCGUACUGCAUCAUUUGUGAAAACCUCACUAGUCGACAAAACUCUACUUCUUGGUAACAACCCUCCAAUAAAAGUUUCUUCCAAAAUUUUCUCCUGAAUAUCCGAUAAAGGGGCAACCAAUUAACAAAAAGAUUUCGAUAUUCCUCCGCACUUGAAGUUUGUUGUAUUUGCAGAAACUGGCCGGAAAGAGACCCUUUUUGUAUCGAACGAAAUCGGAUUAACAACUGUUCUUUCAUAUUUAACUAGUCAGUAAACUUAUCUCUCCUCCUGAAACCGAUACCAGUGUAGUGUCGGGCCCUCAAAACUAACCGUCGCUACCAGAAGCUUCUCGGAAUCAGUUAAUCUGUGUAUCUGAAAAUACCGAUCCACGCGAAACAGCCACAAGUCUGGAUCAUCUUCGUUGAAGACAGGCAUCUCAACUUUUAAAAAUUUUUGCUGAUCAGAAUUUUCGUCUUCUAUUUCACUUUUCUUCUCCUGAUUUUCGUUUUUGAUUUCUUUGCUUGUUGAACCUUCUCCUUCUUUAGAUUUCGUCGGUGAAGUUUCUUAUAAAAGAAAUCGAAAAUCGUGACCGUAUUAGCCCUUCGUUCCUCACAGAGGAAAGGAAUCAUAUUAAAAAAAAAGCAAGCUUCAUUGGCUAAAAGAAGGGGAUGAGAAGAUGCUAUUUUUAUAUUUAGGGCUUCCAUUGGGGAGUUAUCCAUGACAAGCUACUUUUUGGCAGUCCAUGAUUGAUAAUAGACAAAUGGAGAAGAUUUAAUCUGUCGAAGAGGAAGAGCAACUUUAUGCCAAUCCGUAUUGAUCAAUCUCCCCCCUUAUUAUAUGUCUUUGUUUGCAAUGCCGGACACUGGAGCCUCCUCUUUGGAGAGGCUAGUGAGGAAUUUUUCUGGGAGGGGCAUGGAAGCAAAAUCAACCACCUAGUUAAAUGGGCCAAAGUUAUUCGGCCUCAACUUGAUGGAGGUUUAGGUUUGGGAGCACUACAAAAUAAAAACUUGGCUUUCCUUGCCAAGUGGGGCUGGAGAUUUACGAAUGAAGAGGAUUCUUUAUGGAGGCAAGUUAUCCGAAGCAUCCAUGGAAAAGAACCAUUUAACUGGCACAUGGUUGGUAAUUCUGGUUAUAGCCUUAAAUGCCCUUGGAUUCGUAUCUCAAGAAUUUGGAGGAAGGUGGAGUCCUUGCCCUCUUUCAAACUUGGUGAUGGCUCAAGAAUUCCUUCUGGGCAGAUGGGUGGAUUGAUAAUCUUUCAAACUUUUGUAAUUGCUGUGACUAGUUCUCAAACAUGGAACUUGUCCAGGGACUUGCAAUUAUAUUUUCAUCCCUUUCCCCUUCAGCCUAAAAGUGCGACGGUUUACAUUUCAUUUUUCAAUGAUUCUUUUGUGCGCCUUCAAAUUCCGCUUUAUAGUACAGCCAAAGUUUUGAGGAAAAAGCCAAGACUCAUGCGAGGUUAAUGCAUUAGCGACUCAAUUUGAGGAAUGUAUAAGGAACAUGAAAAUAAACAAAAGUUAAGGAAUGCCUCAUCAUGGUGUAUUUUGUCUUAAGGCAUUUGAAGACUAUUCCAUCUAGGAGUUUUAUUUGAAUUGGCGAGCCUUAACUUUUACAUCAUAGUCCUCUUGUAUUGUUGUAUUUUUUUUUUGUUCCUUCCUUGUUUGUACUCUCCCGCUAUUUGGGUGUCUAAUUUGGGCUGUGCAUAAGCCUAAGUUUUACUUGGUUAUAUUAGAUUCUUGGAUAUGAUGAGGACGCUAUGGGACUGUCAACCUAGUUGAGAUGUUCGGGUGUGUCUCCUGAUCCUUGGGCCUUUUUGUUCUAUGCUCUUUACAUAGUUCUUUUGUACUGUGAACAUUAGCCUCAUUUCUAUCAUUAAUGAAAUGGCUUGUUCUUUUUCAAAAAAAAGAAAAACCCAUUUGUUUGUGUGCAACAUUCAAAUUCCUUUUCUAAUUAAUUCUACCGUCUUUUUGGCUACAUAUAUUUGGAGUUCAUUUUUUGCAACUUCUAUAAGUAAUCCUUCUCACCCUACCACUUAAAAAUGUUUUACUUGUAUUAUUUGGUCGACUUUUCUAAAUCUUAAUGUUUGCAAUUUAAUAGAAUUUUACUUUCAUGAGUUGUCUGAAAGUUCUCACCAGGCACACAAGGGGAGAUAUGGCGAAAGUAACAUCUGUCGCAGUAGAAUGUUUUAAUUAUUUAUUGAUGGGAUGCUUGUUACAAGCUAUAGCAUUAUAUUUGCUAUAUGAGAAAUUUCUAUAUUACUGAGUAAAUCAUAAUAAUUCAAAGUACAUAACGAUGUUUUACAUAGGAAAUAAAUAGACCUCAAAGUAACCUCCACAGGAAAAUUCAUAUAUGGAAAAUACCAAAAGGAAAAUACUAAUAAUUCAUAAACCCUAAUUUUCCUUUAACAACUUCCCUCAAACUCAAGUUCUAGAAUCUUGAACUUGAGUUUGCUAAGAAAACAUCUAAAUCAAAUCAGUAGAUCUAGGAUAGAACAAAAAACUUAUGAUGAACCAAACAACAAGAAACUUCUUGGCUAAAGACAAACCCACAAAGAACGAAACGAAGAACUUCUGAGAUAGAAGCAUAGAUCCUUGUAUAGAGAUCUAUAACAACAAAAUCUAGGAAGAACGGAAGAACUUAUGGGCAAUAACAAAGAUCCUCAUGGAGAGAGAUGUAAUAAAUGACAGAUGUUGCUGAUCACACACAAAAUUGAACUAGAUUAAUCUAAAUCGCACUUAUCUUGGCCAACUGCCAUGGAUGCUGAAAUGGCUUUCUUAAUGGCCAACCAAGCAUUAGCGACAUCUGGAAAACUUGUCUUUGAUCCUUUUGUUGGCACUGGAGCAUUCUUGUUGGCGCAGCUCAUUUUGGAGCAAUGACAAUGGUAACUACUUUAAGGACAUCACAAUUUAUCUCAUAAAGAAAUUGUCUGAUUUUACAACAUUUGGCUGAUAGAAAACAUGUGGGUGACUUAAUAUUCUAAAUUGAUAGCUUUGAACACAUUCCUCUGAAGUCUUUUACUUUCUUUCUGAUACAUGACUUAUGGGCUACUUUUUCUAUGCAUUGGAUAUUAUAUUAUAAGUUCGGGUUCAAUCUUGUAGCGAACAUUCAUUGCAUUCAGGGAACUUAAUUUAAGGUAGUUUUCAGUUCCCAUAGAAUGCGUGUGAGAGAGAUACCAUUUGAAUUCAAACUGACCAAAAUGUAUCAGGGGGCAGACAUUGACAUUAGGGUGGUACGUGAUGGUUGUGGCCCUGAUUGUAAUGUUUGGAGCAACUUCAAGCAGGUAAAUAUGUUUUAUAAAUUCUUAGAACUCAAGGACACAAAUGUACCACCUAUAGAAUAAAUCCUGUUCAAGUAAGGUCAUGCUUUAUAAUAAAAUUCUACAAUUCUAGGUUUAGAAAUUUUGUUCAUGGUGCUAGUCUUGGUUUAUAAUGCUCUAUGUUGAAAGUUUGAAACUCUAUGACUAACAGUAAAAUACAUGUGAGGGUGACAAGCAUGAUAAAGGAUAACCGACUGUACUGCUAGUAUUUUGCAUGUGCAAUUUUCUGUGAUUCAACUGAUUAUGAUAAUAUCAAAUUUUGAUGCUUUAUGUUCCUAUGUAUGAUCAUAGAUGUUUCAUGCUGUAAUGGUACUAAUCUGUUUAUUACUGCUUGCAGUAUGGAUUACCACCUCCAAUUGCACUGUUAAGAGCAGAUAAUAAUCUUCCUCCCUGGCGUCCAGGAUUGAAGGAGGUACAGCAGCAAUAUUUGCACCAGUACUAUUUAUUUAUUUUUCGUGGUGCUGAAGUUUCACUACCCUUGUUAUAUACUGAUGGUCACUAAUUCCUGUGGAUACUGCUUAACAUCUUUUUACAGAUUUUCAUUUACUUUUUAUUUUUCUUAACAAGAACCUAAUUUUUUUGUUGAGUAAAUGUUUCAAUGAUUAAAUGAAAAGUGACUGAUGCCUAAAGAAAAAAUGUAAAGUCAUAUGGAAGUGAAUAAGGAACAUAAAUGAGAAAAAAAGUCAGAAGUAUUCAAAAAAAAAAACUGAAAGAAUAAUCUUACAAAGAACUUGAGGCGCCAAUCAAAUUUGUAUCUUCAAAAACCAUAAGAGCUUAGAGAACAAAAAAAAAAAAAGAACUUAUUUAAAUAUUUUAAAGAGCUUUGAGUUUUGAGGUGGAAAAAUUGUUCUCUUUGUGUUGUUUUUUUCCCCUGUUUUGUGGGGCUGUUUUGGAUAUGUUGUUUUUGGUUUUGGAUCUUUGGUUUGUUUUUAUUUCCUUUGGUGCUUUGUUUUCAUUUCCUUUGGUGCUUUGUUGUCAUUUCUUUUAGUGCUUUUUUUUUCUUCCUCUGUUUGUGUUUGAACUCCAGUAUGUUGUACUUCAAUAGUAAACUUUAUUGAUGAAUAACGAUGUAAAUCCUUAGUAGAAUAUAAGAAUACAAAGUCUCUCCAACUGUUAUGCUAUCUUUUAAGGAUUAAACAAAAGACUCACUAAUCUCUUUUAGUAACUAACUUUCUGUCCAAAACAGAUUUCCUAUUUAUAUUUCAACUAACGACCUACUGCCUGACUCAUUGACCCUGGCCUUCUCACUAAGUAACUGCCCCUCUCAAUGUCCUGAGUUUAAUGUGGAGGAGCAAGCCAUUUGUUCCGUUGGGCUAACCAAAUCCAAGCCUGGUGUUUUUGUUGAGGCAAUACAACAUCUUUUAAUUCAGCUACACCAGCAGAGGUAAUAAUUUCCCAACACUGCUUUUUUCCUUUAUGUGUUACUUUUGUCUUUUAGACUGGUAUACAUUGUCUGAUCAUGCAAAACUCAACAAUAAUCAAGACUUUAAAGGUCUAAAUCGAUUGAUCAUGUAAAGUGACAAAGUCAAAACUAGCACAUAGUACCUAGAGCUACUCUGUUGAUUUGGCUGGUUUUCUGCACUAUAUCAUUAAGUUAGGCCACUUGGAUGUUGGGACCUCUUGGUUAGAAAAUUCUUUCUAACAAGCAGGCUCAACCUCUUCAUAAGUCAUUCCACCCCUGAUUAGCUUUUUUAUGGAAGGUUGUAACAUUUUACCGUUUAAGAAACAAAUAUAGGAAAGAUGGUCAUUCAUUGAUCAAUAUCCAGAUGUUCUUCCAAAAGUUAUUGCUACUGGCUCUACUAGGUCUACAGAGCUCCAAAUUUCUUACACUCAUGAAGCCAGCUUAAACAGAACUGAUACUUAAUAUUUUUACUGGCUACAAUUUUAUGCAACAAUAUCUCUUCUUGCCUGGAGAAGGUCCCAUAUCAUUUUUAGAUAAAAUGUCCACGUUUCUCUUUGUAAUUUGGUGUAUUGAGAGAUUUUGUAUUUUUCUUGUAGCUUGUUUCUCCAAAUUAUAGAGAGGUGUCCAUUUUCCAAAUUCUUUCACAUGGGAUAAAACACUAGUGUAGUUUAGGUUUAACUAUGUAAAGUUUCUUUUUCUAUACCAUAUUUUACGGUGGACUCGAAGUGCUUUCCUAUUAGCAUAUGUGCUGUACUGUUUGUUCAAGCUCACUCAUUUUCCCAACUUUUCACCUGACUAAAGCACAUGAAAUCAACAGUAUUAUCAAGGUAUCCAGUGAAUUAAAUUUGCCUUACGUCUGGUUUAGGAGGUGUAAUAUCAAGGUAUCCAGUGAAUUAAAUUCAUGAAGUUACAACUGUUGGUUGUAGUCCCUUUUUUUGCGGUUUUACAUUUGUGUAUUUGAUGGAACCCGUAGAUGAAAAUAGUAAUUCGACAUUAUUGAUUGAAAUAAUAGAAAAACAAAGUUUUGUUUCCCUCUCUCUCAAGGAAUAACAGAAAGAUACUGAAUUCCAAAACACUCAAAAACGGACUCUCCCGCCCUUUAACAAACUUAUUUAUAUUGCUGCCCUUCUCAUCACUAACACGUGCCUCACCCUCACGUGUUAUUUCUUAUUUUCUCUCCUCUUGUAUUGAUAUGGGAAUCUCUCGACUCCCCAGCGAAGCCAUCAUCGUCCAUCUUAAGUAGGAGAGCCAUGCCGCUUCGGGCCAGAAUGCAUCGAGGUCCUUCGGUUUAAGAAAAUGGGUGAGGAACUCUCGGCCCUUGGGCCAAGCCGCAUUAAAAUCACACACAGAAAGUAAGAGACCCAAGCCGCUGUGGACUAAAAUGCGUUGGGUUCUUUCGAUAUCAGAACGGCGUGGGAACUCUCGACUCUUGACUAAAGCCAUGGUAUAAUAUCCCGUAGAAAUUAAGAGAGCCAAGCCGCUUCGGGCAAGAAUGCAUCAGGUUCCUUCGAUACCAAAAACUACAUGCGGAAACUCUCGACUAUUGGCCGGAGCCAUGUUACAAUCGCAUGUAGAAAGUAGGAGAGCCAAGUCAUUUGGGCCAGAAUGCGUCAAGUUCAUUCAGUAUCAGAAUCUGCUUUGGGAACUCUCGACUCUCAAUUGAAGCCACUAUACAAUCACUCGUAGAAAGUAAGAGAGCCAAGUCGCUGCAGACCAAAAUGCGUCGGGUUCCUUCGUAUCGAAACCUAUAUAGGAAACUCUCGACUCUCGAUGAAGCCAUAAUCAUUCGUGGAAAGUAGGAGAGCCAUGCCGUUUCGGGCCAGAAUGCGUCUAGUUCCUUCGAUAUCAAAAAAUGCGUGCGGAACUCUCGACUCUUGGUCAGAGCUAUAUUAUAAUCGCACGUAGAAAGUAGAACAGCCAAGCUGCUUCGAGCUAGAAUGCGUCAAGUUUCUUUGGUAUCAGAAUCUGCUUUGCGAACUCUCGACUCUCAACUGAAUCCAGAAUACAAUCGGUCGUAGAAAGGAGAGCCAUGCCAUUUCUGGUAGAAUGCGUCAGGUUCCUUCGGUAUCAAAACUUUUGUGGGGAACUCUCGACUCUCGACAGAAGCCCCAAUACAAUCCCCCGUAAAAAAUAGUGGAGCCAAGCCGCUUUGGGCCAAAAUUCAUUAAGUUCCUUCGGUACAAAAACUGCAUGGGAACUCUCGACUCUUGGUCGAAGCCACAUUUCAAUCGCACGUAGAAAGGAGAGCCAUGCCAUUUCGUGGUAGAAUGCGUCAGGUUCCUUCGGUAUCAAAACUUUUGUGGGGAACUCUCGACUUUCGAUAGAAGCCCCAAUACAAUCCCCGUAGAAAAUAGUGGAGCCAAGCCGCUUUGGGCCAAAAUUCAUUAAGUUCCUUCGGUACAAAAACUGCAUGGGGAACUCUCGACUCUUGGUCGAAGCCACAUUACAAUCGCCCGUAGAAAGUAGGAGAGCCAAGCCGCUUUAGGCCAUAAUGCGUCGGGUUCCUUCGGUAUCAAAACCUAUAUAGGAAACUCUCGACUCGCAAUCGAAGCCAUAAUCGUCCGUAGAAAGGAGAGACAUGCUGCUUCGGGCAAGAAUGCAUCGGGUUCUUUCGGUAUAAGAAAAUGCGUGUGGAGCUCUGGGCUCUUGGCCGAAGCCACAUUACAAUCGCUCGUAGAAAGAAGUAGAGCAAAGCCGAUCCAGGCUAGAAUGUUCGGGUCCUUCUAUAUUAAAACUUGUGUGGAGAACUCUAGACUCUCGUCUGAAGCUACAAUACAACUGCCCUAAGAAAAGAGGAGAGCGAAGCCGCUGUGGGCUAGAAUGCAUCGAGUUGCAUCGAUACUAGAACCUGCGUCGGGAACUUCUGACUCUCGCCUGAAGCCAUAAUCGCCCUUAGAAAGUAGGAGAUCCAAGCCGCUACGGGCUUGAAUUUCUUUGGUAUUAGAAAUUGCAUGGGGAACUCUCGACUCUUGGCCGAAGCCACAUAAAAAUCGCUCGUAGAAAGUAGGAGUGCCAAGCCGCUUUGGGCUAGAAUGGAUUGGGUUCCUUCGAUAUUAUAAAUUGCGUGGGGAACUCUCGACUCUUGGCCCAAGCCAUAUUACAAUCACCCGUAGAAAGUAGGAGAGCCAAGACGCUUCGAGCCAGAAUGCAUAAAGUUUCUUGGCUAUAUGAAUUUGUUUUUUGCACUUUCGACUCUCAACUGAACCCACUAUACAAUCACUCGUAGAAAGUAAGAGAGCCAAGUCGCUGCAAACCAAAAUGCGUCGGUUUCCUUCGGUAUCGAAACCUAUAUAGGAAACUCUCGACUCUCGAUGAAGCCAUAAUCAUUCGUGGAAAGUAGGAGAGCCAUGCCGUUUCGGGCCAGAAUGCGUCUAGUUCCUUCGAUAUCAAAAAAUGCGUGCGGAACUCUCGACUCUUGGUCAGAGCUAUAUUAUAAUCGCACGUAGAAGUAGAAGAGCCAAGCUGCUUCGAGCUAGAAUGCGUCAAGUUUCUUUGGUAUCAGAAUCUGCUUUGCGAACUCUCGACUCUCAACUGAAUCCAGAAUACAAUCAGUCGUAGAAAGGAGAGCCAUGCCAUUUCGUGGUAGAAUGCGUCAGGUUCCUUCGGUAUCAAAACUUUUGUGGGGAACUCUUGACUUUCGACAGAAGCCCCAAUACAAUCCCCCGUAGAAAAUAGUGGAGCCAAGCCGCUUUGGGCCGAAAUUCAUUAAGUUCCUUCGGUACAAAAACUGCAUGGGGAACUCUCGACUCUUGGUCGAAGCCACAUUACAAUCGCCCGUAGAAAGUAGGAGAGCCAAGCCGCUUUAGGCCAUAAUGCGUCGGGUUCCUUCGGUAUCAAAACCUAUAUAGGAAACUCUCGACUCGCAAUCCGUUUAUGGAAGGCUGUAACAUUUUACCGUUUAAGAAACAAAUAUAGGAAAGAUGGUCAUUCAUGAUCAAUAUACAGAUGUUCUUCCAAAAGUUAUUGCUACUGGCUCUACUGGGUCUACAGAGCUCCAAAUUUCUUACACUCAUGAAGCCAGCUUAAACAGAACUGAUACUUAAUAUUUUUACUAGCUACAAUUUUAUGCAACAAUAUCUCUUCUUGCUUAGAGAAGGUCCCAUAUCAUUUUUAGAUAAAAUGUCCACGUUUCUCUUUGUAAUUUGGUGUAUUGAGAGAUUUUGUAUUUUUCUUGUAGCUUGUUUCUCCAAAUUAUAGAGAGGUGUCCAUUUUCCAAAUUCUUUCACAUGGGAUAAAACACUAGUGUAGUUUAGGUUUAACUAUGUAAAGUUUCUUUUUCUAUACCAUAUUUUACGGUGGACUCGAAGUGCUUUCCUAUUAGCAUAUGUGCUGUACUGUUUGUUCAAGCUCACUCAUUUUCCCAACUUUUCACCUGACUAAAGCACAUGAAAUCAACAGUAUUAUCAAGGUAUCCAGUGAAUUAAAUUUGCCUUACGUCUGGUUUAGGAGGUGUAAUAUCAAGGUAUCCAGUGAAUUAAAUUCAUGAAGUUACAACUGUUGGUUGUAGUCCCCUUUUUCGCGGUUUUACAUUUGUGUAUUUGAUGGAACCCGUAGAUGAAAAUAGUAAUUCGACAUUAUUGAUUGAAAUAAUAGAAAAAAGAAUUUUUGUUUCCCUCUCUCUCAAGGAAUAACAGAAAGAUACUGAAUUCCAAAAAACUCAAAAACGGACUCUCCCGCCCUUUAACAAACUUAUUUAUAUUGCUACCCUUCUCAUCACUCACACGUGCCUCACCCUCACGUGUUAUUUCUUAUUUUCUCUCCUCUUGUACUGAUAUAAUAUUGGUGGUCUAUCAUUACUCUCCUUCUCCAAAUUCACCUUGUCCUCAAGGUGAAAAUCUGGAAAACGCUGCUUCAAAUCCUCAUUAACUCCAAGUAGCCUCGUAUUGUGGAAGACCCUUCCACUGCACCAACAUCCCAACUUCCCGCUUUGUUUUUCGAAUAACCAUAAACCUCUUCUGGGAUAUCUCUCCAUUCCUGUCUUCCUCGUGCUCUCCUAUUACUUUCUUUAGCUGAGAUACAUGAAAUACUAGAUGUAUGGUAGAAUUCCCUGGUAGUUCUAUCUUGUAAGCUACCUGACCAAUUUUAGCUAUCACUAUGUGGUCCAAAGAAUUUAGGAGAGGGCUUUUCAUUUCUUUUUCUUCUAACAGUCACUUGCCGAUAUGGUCUUAUCUUUAACAAUACCAAAUCCCCAACUUGGUAAUGAACUUUCUUCUGUCUUCAUGUCUGCAUACUUCUUAUUUUGUCAUGUGCAAUUCUCAAAUGUUUCCGUAGAGCUCCUAACACCACAUCUCUUUCCUUCAACUAUUCAUCUAAUGUGGAGUUAGUAGUGUCCCUCUCCCAUAGUAUUCCAAAGGAGGUGGCAAAUGCCGUAUACAGCCUGAAACAGUGUGACUCCUAUUGCACGCUGAUAUGUAGUGUUAUACCAGUAUUCCGCCCAAGGAUCCAUUUAACCCAUUCUUUUGGCUUUUCCCCACAAAAGCAACCCAAGAACGUCUCUACUCCACGAUUAACAACUUCUGUUUGACCAUCCGUUUGUGGAUGAUACGCUGUACUGUGGUUCAACUUUGUUCCUGCCAAGCGAAAUAAUUCUCUCCAAAAGUGACUCAAGAAUACCUUGUCUCUAUCCGAGACAAUGGAUUUGGGAUAUCCGAAUGAGAGGCUGGAAUGCGUCAGGUUCCUUCUCUAUUAAAACCUGUGUGGAGAAUUCUUGACUCUCGAUUGAAGCCACAAUACAAUCGCACUAAGAAAGUAGGAGUGCCAAGCUGCUUCGAGCUAGAAGGUGUCAGGGUUGCAUCGUCAACAGAACCUGCGUGGAAAACUCUCGACUGUCUCCUGAAGCCAUAAUUGCCCAUUGUAAGUAGGAGGCCAAGACGCUUCGGGCCAGAUUAUGUCGGAUUCCUUCGGUAUUAGAAAAUGCUUGGGGAACUCUUGGCUCUUGGUCGAAGCAACAUAACAAUCGCCCGGAGAAAGUAGGAGAGCCAAGCCGCUUCGGGCGAGAAUGCAUCGUAUUCUUUAGGUAUCAGAAACUGCAUGGGAACUCUCGACUCUUGGCCGAAGCCACAUUUCAAUCGCACAUAGAAAGUGGGAGAGCCAAGCCGCUUCAGGCCAGAAUGCGUCAAGUUCGUACGACAUCUGAAUUUGCUUUGGGAACUCUCGAUUCUCAACUGAAGCCACAAUACAAUCAAUCGUAGAAAGUAGGACAGCCAAGCCGCUCCGGGCCAGAAUGCGUAAAGUUCCUUUGGUAUCAGAAUCUGCUUGGGAACUGUCGAUUCUCAACUGAAGCCACAAUACAAUCACGCGUAGAAAGUAGGAGAGCCAAGCCGCCUCGAGCCAUAAUGCGUCAAGUUCCUUCGAUAUCAGAAUUGCGUGGGGAACUCUCGAUUCUCGAAGCAAAGGUCACAAUUCCAUCGCCCGUAUAAAGUAGGAGAGCCAAGCCUCUUCGGACAAGAAUGCAUCUGGUUCCUUUGGUAUCAGAAACUGCGUGGGAAACUCUUGACUCUUGGUCGAAGCCACAUCAAAAUUUCUCGUAGAAAGUAGGAGAGCUAAGUCACUUCAUGCCAGAAUGCAUCGGGUUCGUUCGGUAUUAAAAAAUGCAUGGAUCUACAUUAUAAUCACCCAUAGAAAGAAGGGGAGCGAAGUCGAUUUGGGCUAGAAUGCAUUAGGUUUCUUCUCUAUUAAAACUGUGUGGAGAACUCUGGACUCUCGGCUGAAGCCACAAUAAAAUUGCCUUAAGAAAGUAGGAGAGCCAACUUGCUUCAGACAAGAAUGCAUCGGGUUGCAACGAUAUUAGAACAUGCGUGCGGAACUCCCGACUCUCGCCUGAAGCCAUAAUCGCCCAUAGAAAGUUGGGGAGCAAAGCUGCUUCGGGCUAGAAUGCAUCGAAUUCUUUCAAUAUUAGAAACUGCGUAGGAACUCUCGACUCUUGGUCGAAGCCACAUAACAAUUACCAGUGGAAAGUAGGAAAGCCAAGUCGCUUCGGGCCAGAAUGGAUCGGGUUCCUUCGCGGUAUUAGAAACUGCAUGGGGAACUCUCGACUCCUGGCCCAAGUCACAUUACCAUCGCCCAUAGAAAGUAGGAGAAGCAAGCCACUUCGAGCAAGAAUACAUCGGGUUCCUUUAGCGUCAAACCUAUGUGGGGAACUUUUGACUCUCGUCGAAGCCACAUUACAAUCAUCCGUAGAAAUUAGGAGUGCCAAGCUGCUUCGAGCCAAAAUGGGUCAGUUCCUACGAUAUUAGAAAUUGUGUGGGAAACACUCGACUCUUGGCCCAAGCCAUAUUAAAAGCACACGUAGAAAGUAGGAGAGCCAAGCCACAUCAGACUAGAAUACGUUAGGUUCUUUUGAUAUCAAAACUGCGUGGGGAACUCUCGACUCUUGAUCGAAGCCAAAGUACAAUCGGCCGUAGAAAUUAGGAGAGCCAAGCCUCUUCGGGCAAGAAUGCAUCGGGUUCCUUCGAUAUUAGAAACUGCGUGGGAAACUCUCGACUCUCAAUUGAAUCCACUCUACAAUCACUCUAGAAAGUAGGAGAGCCAAGCCGCUUUGUGCCUGAAUGUGUCAGGUUCCUUUGUUAUCAGAACUGCGUGGGGAUUUCUCGACUCUCGACAGAAGCCCCAAUACAAUCCCCCGUAGAAAAUAGUAGAGCCAAGCCGCUUUUGGCCAAAAUUCAUUAAGUUCCUUCGGUACAAAAACUGCAUGGGGAACUCUCGACUCUUGGCCGAAGCCACAUUUCAAUCGCACGUAGAAAGGAGAGCCAUGCCAUUUCGGUAGAAUGCGUCAGGUUCCUUCGGUAUCAAAACUUUUGUGGGGAACUCUCGACUUUCGAUAGAAGCCCCAAUACAAUCCCCGUAGAAAAUAGUGGAGCCAAGCCGCUUUGGGCCAAAAUUCAUUAAGUUCCUUCGGUACAAAAACUGCAUGGGGAACUCUCGACUCUUGGUCGAAGCCACAUUACAAUCGCCCGUAGAAAGUAGGAGAGCCAAGCCGCUUUAGGCCAUAAUGCGUCGGGUUCCUUCGGUAUCAAAACCUAUAUAGGAAACUCUCGACUCGCAAUCGAAGCCAUAAUCGUCCGUAGAAAGGAGAGACAUGCUGCUUCGGGCAAGAAUGCAUCGGGUUCUUUCGGUAUAAGAAAAUGCGUGUGGAGCUCUGGGCUCUUGGCCGAAGCCACAUUACAAUCGCUCGUAGAAAGAAGUAGAGCAAAGCCGAUCCAGGCUAGAAUGUGUCGGGUUCCUUCUAUAUUAAAACUUGUGUGGAGAACUCUAGACUCUCGUCUGAAGCUACAAUACAACUGCCCUAAGAAAAGAGGAGAGCGAAGCCGCUGUGGGCUAGAAUGCAUCGAGUUGCAUCGAUACUAGAACCUGCGUCGGGAACUUCUGACUCUCGCCUGAAGCCAUAAUCGCCCUUAGAAAGUAGGAGAUCCAAGCCGCUACGGGCUUGAAUUUCUUUGGUAUUAGAAAUUGCAUGGGGAACUCUCGACUCUUGGCCGAAGCCACAUAAAAAUCGCUCGUAGAAAGUAGGAGUGCCAAGCCGCUUUGGGCUAGAAUGGAUUGGGUUCCUUCGAUAUUAUAAAUUGCGUGGGGAACUCUCGACUCUUGGCCCAAGCCAUAUUACAAUCACCCGUAGAAAGUAGGAGAGCCAAGACGCUUCGAGCCAGAAUGCAUAAAGUUUCUUGGCUAUAUGAAUUUGUUUUUUGCACUUUCGACUCUCAACUGAACCCACUAUACAAUCACUCGUAGAAAGUAAGAGAGCCAAAUCGCUUCGUGCCAGAAUGCAUCAGGUCCUUCUAUAUCAGAACUGCGUGGAAAAUCUUGACUUUCGACAGAAGCCACAAUACAAUCGCCCGUAGAAAGUAGGAGAGCCAAGCUGCUUUAGGCCAGAAUGCGUCGGGUUCCUUCGGUAUCAAAACUAUAUGGAAUCUCUCGACUCCCCACCGAAGCCAUCAUCGUCCAUCUUAAGUAGGAGAGCCAUGCCGCUUCGGGCCAGAAUGCAUCGAGGUCCUUCGGUUUAAGAAAAUGCGUGAGGAACUCUCGGCCCUUGGGCCAAGCCGCAUUAAAAUCACACAGAAAGUAAGAGACCCAAGCCGCUGUGGACUAAAAUGCGUUAGGUUCUUUCGAUAUCAGAACGGCGUGGGAACUCUCGACUCUUGACAAAAGCCAUGGUAUAAUAUCCCGUAGAAAUUAAGAGAGCCAAGCCGCUUCGGGCAAGAAUGCAUCAGGUUCCUUCGAUACCAAAAACUACAUGCAGAAACUCUCGACUAUUGGCCGGAGCCAUGUUACAAUCGCAUGUAGAAAGUAGGAGAGCCAAGUCAUUUGGGCCAGAAUGCGUCAAGUUCAUUCAGUAUCAGAAUCUGCUUUGGGAACUCUCGACUCUCAAUUGAAGCCACUAUACAAUCACUCGUAGAAAGUAAGAGAGCCAAGUCGCUGCAGACCAAAAUGCGUCGGGUUCCUUCGGUAUCGAAACCUAUAUAGGAAACUCUCGACUCUCGAUGAAGCCAUAAUCAUUCGUGGAAAGUAGGAGAGCCAUGCCGUUUCGGGCCAGAAUGCGUCUAGUUCCUUCGAUAUCAAAAAAUGCGUGCGGAACUCUCGACUCUUGGUCAGAGCUAUAUUAUAAUCGCACGUAGAAAGUAGAAGAGCCAAGCUGCUUCGAGCUAGAAUGCGUCAAGAUUCUUUGGUAUCAGAAUCUGCUUUGCGAACUCUCGACUCUCAACUGAAUCCAGAAUACAAUCAGUCGUAGAAAGGAGAGCCAUGCCAUUUCGUGGUAGAAUGCGUCAGGUUCCUUCGGUAUCAAAACUUUUGUGGGGAACUCUCGACUUUCGACAGAAGCCCAAUACAAUCCCCCGUAGAAAAUAGUGGAGCCAAGCCGCUUUGGGCCAAAAUACAUUAAGUUCCUUCGGUACAAAAACUGCAUGGGGAACUCUCGACUUUGGUCGAAGCCACAUUACAAUCGCCCGUAGAAAGUAGGAGAGCCAAGCCGCUUUAGGCCAUAAUGCAUCGGGUUCCUUCGGUAUCAAAACCUAUAUAGGAAACUCUCGACUCGCAAUCCGUUUAUGGAAGGCUGUAACAUUUUACCGUUUAAGAAACAAAUAUAGGAAAGAUGGUCAUUCAUUGAUCAAUAUACAUAUGUUCUUCCAAAAGUUAUUGCUACUGGCUCUACUAGGUCUACAGAGCUCCAAAUUUCUUACACUCAUGAAGCCAGCUUAAACAGAACUGAUACUUAAUAUUUUUACUAGCUACAAUUUUAUGCAACAAUAUCUCUUCUUGCUUAGAGAAGGUCCCAUAUCAUUUUUAGAUAAAAUGUCCACGUUUCUCUUUGUAAUUUGGUGUAUUGAGAGAUUUUGUAUUUUUCUUGUAGCUUGUUUCUCCAAAUUAUAGAGAGGUGUCCAUUUUCCAAAUUCUUUCACAUGGGAUAAAACACUAGUGUAGUUUAGGUUUAACUAUGUAAAGUUUCUUUUUCUAUACCAUAUUUUACGGUGGACUCGAAGUGCUUUCCUAUUAGCAUAUGUGCUGUACUGUUUGUUCAAGCUCACUCAUUUUCCCAACUUUUCACCUGACUAAAGCACAUGAAAUCAACAGUAUUAUCAAGGUAUCCAGUGAAUUAAAUUUGCCUUACGUCUGGUUUAGGAGGUGUAAUAUCAAGGUAUCCAGUGAAUUAAAUUCAUGAAGUUACAACUGUUGGUUGUAGUCCCCCUUUUUCGCGGUUUUACAUUUGUGUAUUUGAUGGAACCCGUAGAUGAAAAUAGUAAUUCGACAUUAUUGAUUGAAAUAAUAGAAAAACAAAUUUUUGUUUCCCUCUCUCUCAAGGAAUAACAGAAAGAUACUGAAUUCCAAAAAACUCAAAAACGGACUCUCCCGCCCUUUAACAAACUUAUUUAUAUUGCUACCCUUCUCAUCACUCACACGUGCCUCACCCUCACGUGUUAUUUCUUAUUUUCUCUCCUCUUGUACUGAUAUAAUAUUGGUGGUCUAUCAUUACUCUCCUUCUCCAAAUUCACCUUGUCCUCAAGGUGAAAAUCUGGAAAACGGCUUCAAAUCCUCAUAUAACUCCCAAGUAGCCUCGUGUUGUGGAAGACCCUUCCACUGCACCAACACAUCCCAACUUCCCGCUUUGUUUUUCGAAUAACCAUAAACCUCUUCUGGGAUAUCUCUCCAUUCAUGAUUUUCAAUUAAACAUGGAACAUCAUUCCUGUCUUCCUCGUGCUCUCCUAUUACUUUCUUUAGCUGAGAUACAUGAAAUACUAGAUGUAUGGUAGAAUUCCCUGGUAGUUCUAGCUUGUAAGCUACCUGACCAAUUUUAGCUAUCACUAUGUGGUCCAAAGAAUUUAGGAGAGGGCUUUUCAUUUCUUUUUCUUCUAACAGUCACUUGCCGAUAUGGUCUUAUCUUUAACAAUACCAAAUCCCCAACUUGGUAAUGAACUUCUCUUCUCUUCAUGUCUGCAUACUUCUGUCAUGUGCAAUUCUCAAAUGUUUCCGUAGAGCUCCUAACACCACAUCUCUUUCCUUCAACUAUUCAUCUAAUGUGGAGUUAGUAGUGUCCCUCUCCCCAUAGUAUUCCAAAGGAGGUGGCAAAUGCCCGUAUACAGCCUGAAACAGUGUGACUCCUAUUGCACGCUGAUAUGUAGUGUUAUACCAGUAUUCCGCCCAAGGAUCCAUUUAACCCAUUCUUUUGGCUUUUCCCCACAAAAGCAACCAAGAACGUCUCUACUCCACGAUUAACAACUCUGUUUGACCAUCCGUUUGUGGAUGAUACGCUGUACUGUGGUUCAACUUUGUUCCUGCCAAGCGAAAUAAUUCUCUCCAAAAGUGACUCAAGAAUACCUUGUCUCUAUCCGAGACAAUGGAUUUGGGAUAUCCGAAUGAGGCUGGAAUGCGUCAGGUUCCUUCUCUAUUAAAACCUGUGUGGAGAAUUCUUGACUCUCGAUUGAAGCCACAAUACAAUGCCCUAAGAAAGUAGGAGUGCCAAGCUGCUUCGAGCUAGAAGGUGUCAGGGUUGCAUCGUCAACAGAACCUGCGUGGAAAACUCUCGACUGUCUCCUGAAGCCAUAAUUGCCCAUUGUAAGUAGGAGGCCAAGACGCUUCGGGCCAGAUUAUGUCGGAUUCCUUCGGUAUUAGAAAAUGCUUGGGGAACUCUUGGCUCUUGGUCGAAGCAACAUAACAAUCGCCCGGAGAAAGUAGGAGAGCCAAGCCGCUUCGGGCGAGAAUGCAUCGUAUUCUUUAGGUAUCAGAAACGCAUGGGAACUCUCGACUCUUGGCCGAAGCCACAUUUCAAUCGCACAUAGAAAGUGGGAGAGCCAAGCCGCUUCAGGCCAGAAUGCGUCAAGUUCGUACGACAUCUGAAUUUGCUUUGGGAACUCUCGAUUCUCAACUGAAGCCACAAUACAAUCAAUCGUAGAAAGUAGGACAGCCAAGCCGCUUCGGGCCAGAAUGCGUAAAGUUCCUUUGGUAUCAGAAUCUUCUUGGGAACUGUCGAUUCUCAACUGAGCCACAAUACAAUCACGCGUAGAAAGUAGGAGAGCCAAGCCGCCUCGGCCAUAAUGCGUCAAGUUCCUUCGAUAUCAGAAUUGCGUGGGGAACUCUCGAUUCUCGAAGCAAAGGUCACAAUUCCUUCGCCCGUAUAAAGUAGAGAGCCAAGCCUCUUCGGACAAGAAUGCAUCUGGUUCCUUUGGUAUCAGAAACUGCGUGGGAAACUCUUGACUCUUAGUCGAAGCCACAAUCAAAAUUCUCGUAGAGAAGUAGGAGAGCUAAGUCACUUCAUGCCAGAAUGCAUCGGGUUCGUUCGGUAUUAAAAAAUGCAUGGAUCUACAUUAUAAUCACCCAUAGAAAGAAGGGGAGCGAAGUCGAUUUGGGCUAGAAUGCAUCAGGUUUCUUCUCUAUUAAAACUGUGUGGAGAACUCUGGACUCUCGGCUGAAGCCACAAUAAAAUUGCCUUAAGAAAGUAGGAGAGCCAACUCCUUCAGACAAGAAUGCAUCGGGUUGCAACGAUAUUAGAACAUGCGUGCGGAACUCCCGACUCUCGCCUGAAGCCAUAAUCGCCCAUAGAAAGUUGGGGAGCAAAGCUGCUUCGGGCUAGAAUGCAUCGAAUUCUUUCAAUAUUAGAAACUGCGUAGGGAACUCUCGACUCUUGGUCGAAGCCACAUAACAAUUACCAGUGGAAAGUAGGAAAGCCAAGUCGCUUCGGGCCAGAAUGGAUCGGGUUCCUUCGCGGUAUUAGAAACUGCAUGGGGAACUCUCGACUCCUGGCCCAAGUCACAUUACCAUCGCCCAUAGAAAGUAGGAGAAGCAAGCCACUUCGAGCAAGACAUCGGGUUCCUUUAGCGUCAAACCUAUGUGGGAACUUUUGACUCUCGGUCGAAGCCACAUUACAAUCAUCCGUAGAAAUUAGGAGUGCCAAGCUGCUUCGAGCCAAAAUGGUCAGUUCCUACGAUAUUAGAAAUUGUGUGGGAAACACUCGACUCUUGGCCCAAGCCAUAUUAAAAGCACACGUAGAAAGUAGGAGAGCCAAGCCACAUCAGACUAGAAUACGUUAGGUUCUUUUGAUAUCAAAACUGCGUGGGGAACUCUCGACUCUUGAUCGAAGCCAAAGUACAAUCGGCCGUAGAAAUUAGGAGAGCCAAGCCUCUUCGGGCAAGAAUGCAUCGGGUUCCUUCGAUAUUAGAAACUGCGUGGGAAACUCUCGACUCUCAAUUGAAUCCACUCUACAAUCACUCGUAGAAAGUAGGAGAGCCAAGCCGCUUUGUGCCUGAAUGUGUCAGGUUCCUUUGUUAUCAGAACUGCGUGGGGAUUUCUCGACUCUCGACAGAAGCCCCAAUACAAUCCCCCGUAGAAAAUAGUAAGCCAAGCCGCUUUUGGCCAAAAUUCAUUAAGUUCCUUCGGUACAAAAACUGCAUGGGGAACUCUCGACUCUUGGCGAAGCCACAUUUCAAUGCACGUAGAAAGGAGAGCCAUGCCAUUUCGUGUAGAAUGCGUCAGGUUCCUUCGGUAUCAAAACUUUUGUGGGGAACUCUCGACUUUCGAUAGAAGCCCCAAUACAAUCCCCCGUAGAAAAUAGUGGAGCCAAGCCGCUUUGGGCCAAAAUUCAUUAAGUUCCUUCGGUACAAAAACUGCAUGGGAACUCUCGACUCUUGGUCGAAGCCACAUUACAAUCGCCCGUAGAAAGUAGGAGAGCCAAGCCGCUUUAGGCCAUAAUGCGUCGGUUCCUUCGGUAUCAAAACCUAUAUAGGAAACUCUCGACUCGCAAUCGAAGCCAUAAUCGUCCGUAGAAAGGAGAGACAUGCUGCUUCGGGCAAGAAUGCAUCGGGUUCUUUCGUAUAAGAAAAUGCGUGUGGAGCUCUGGGCUCUUGGCCGAAGCCACAUUACAAUCGCUCGUAGAAAGAAGUAGAGCAAAGCCGAUCCAGGCUAGAAUGUGUCGGGGUCCUUCUAUAUUAAAACUUGUGUGGAGAACUCUAGACUCUCGUCUGAAGCUACAAUACAACUGCCCUAAGAAAAGAGGAGAGCGAAGCCGCUGUGGGCUAGAAUGCAUCGAGUUGCAUCGAUACUAGAACCUGCGUCGGGAACUUCUGACUCUCGCCUGAAGCCAUAAUCGCCCUUAGAAAGUAGAUCCAAGCCGCUACGGGCUUGAAUUUCUUUGGUAUUAGAAAUUGCAUGGGGAACUCUCGACUCUUGGCCGAAGCCACAUAAAAAUCGCUCGUAGAAAGUAGGAGUGCCAAGCCGCUUUGGGCUAGAAUGGAUUGGGUUCCUUCGAUAUUAUAAAUUGCGUGGGGAACUCUGACUCUUGGCCCAAGCCAUAUUACAAUCACCCGUAGAAAGUAGGAGAGCCAAGACGCUUCGAGCCAGAAUGCAUAAAGUUUCUUGGCUAUAUGAAUUUGUUUUUUGCACUUUCGACUCUCAACUGAACCCACUAUACAAUCACUCGUAGAAAGUAAGAGAGCCAAGUCGCUGCAAACCAAAAUGCGUCGGUUUCCUUCGGUAUCGAAACCUAUAUAGGAAACUCUCGACUCUCGAUGAAGCCAUAAUCAUUCGUGGAAAGUAGGAGAGCCAUGCCGUUUCGGGCCAGAAUGCGUCUAGUUCCUCGAUAUCAAAAAAUGCGUGCGGAACUCUCGAUCUUGGUCAGAGCUAUAUUAUAAUCGCACGUAGAAAGUAGAAGAGCCAAGCUGCUUCGAGCUAGAAUGCGUCAAGUUUCUUUGGUAUCAGAAUCUGCUUUGCGAACUCUCGACUCUCAACUGAAUCCAGAACAAUCAGUCGUAGAAAGGAGAGCAUGCCAUUUCGUGGUAGAAUGCGUCAGGUUCCUUCGGUAUCAAAACUUUUGUGGGGAACUCUUGACUUUCGACAGAAGCCCAAUACAAUCCCCCGUAGAAAAUAGUGGAGCCAAGCCGCUUUGGGCCGAAAUUCAUUAAGUUCCUUCGGUACAAAAACUGCAUGGGGAACUCUCGACUCUUGGUCGAAGCCACAUUACAAUCGCCGUAGAAAGUAGGAGAGCCAAGCCGCUUUAGGCCAUAAUGCGUCGGGUUCCUUCGGUAUCAAAACCUAUAUAGGAAACUCUCGACUCGCAAUCCGUUUAUGGAAGGCUGUAACAUUUUACCGUUUAAGAAACAAAUAUAGGAAAGAUGGUCAUUCAUGAUCAAUAUACAGAUGUUCUUCCAAAAGUUAUUGCUACUGGCUCUACUGGGUCUACAGAGCUCCAAAUUUCUUACACUCAUGAAGCCAGCUUAAACAGAACUGAUACUUAAUAUUUUUACUAGCUACAAUUUUAUGCAACAAUAUCUCUUCUUGCUUAGAGAAGGUCCCAUAUCAUUUUUAGAUAAAAUGUCCACGUUUCUCUUUGUAAUUUGGUGUAUUGAGAGAUUUUGUAUUUUUCUUGUAGCUUGUUUCUCCAAAUUAUAGAGAGGUGUCCAUUUUCCAAAUUCUUUCACAUGGGAUAAAACACUAGUGUAGUUUAGGUUUAACUAUGUAAAGUUUCUUUUUCUAUACCAUAUUUUACGGUGGACUCGAAGUGCUUUCCUAUUAGCAUAUGUGCUGUACUGUUUGUUCAAGCUCACUCAUUUUCCCAACUUUUCACCUGACUAAAGCACAUGAAAUCAACAGUAUUAUCAAGGUAUCCAGUGAAUUAAAUUUGCCUUACGUCUGGUUUAGGAGGUGUAAUAUCAAGGUAUCCAGUGAAUUAAAUUCAUGAAGUUACAACUGUUGGUUGUAGUCCCCCUUUUUCGCGGUUUUACAUUUGUGUAUUUGAUGGAACCCGUAGAUGAAAAUAGUAAUUCGACAUUAUUGAUUGAAAUAAUAGAAAAAAAAUUUUUGUUUCCUCUCUCUCAAGGAAUAACAGAAAGAUACUGAAUUCCAAAAAACUCAAAAACGGACUCUCCCGCCCUUUAACAAACUUAUUUAUAUUGCUACCUUCUCAUCACUCACACGUGCCUCACCCUCACGUGUUAUUUCUUAUUUUCUCUCCUCUUGUACUGAUAUAAUAUUGGUGGUCUAUCAUUACUCUCCUUCUCCAAAUUCACCUUGUCCUCAAGGUGAAAAUCUGGAAAACGCUGCUUCAAAUCCUCAUAUAACUCCCAAGUAGCCUCGUUGUGGAAGACCCUUCCACUGCACCAACACAUCCCAACUUCCCGCUUUGUUUUUCGAAUAACCAUAAACCUCUUCUGGGAUAUCUCUCCAUUCAUGAUUUUCAAUUAAACAUGGAACAUCAUUCCUGUCUUCCUCGUGCUCUCCUAUUACUUUCUUUAGCUGAGAUACAUGAAAUACUAGAUGUAUGGUAGAAUUCCCUGGUAGUUCUAGCUUGUAAGCUACCUGACCAAUUUUAGCUAUCACUAUGUGGUCCAAAGAAUUUAGGAGAGGGCUUUUCAUUUCUUUUUCUUCUAACAGUCACUUGCCGAUAUGGUCUUAUCUUUAACAAUACCAAAUCCCCAACUUGGUAAUGAACUUCUCUUCUCUUCAUGUCUGCAUACUUCUUCAUUUUGUCAUGUGCAAUUCUCAAAUGUUUCCGUAGAGCUCCUAACACCACAUCUCUUUCCUUCAACUAUUCAUCUAAUGUGGAGUUAGUAGUGUCCCUCUCCCCAUAGUAUUCCAAAGGAGGUGGCAAAUGCCCGUAUACAGCCUGAAACAGUGUGACUCCUAUUGCACGCUGAUAUGUAGUGUUAUACCAGUAUUCCGCCCAAAGGAUCCAUUUAACCCAUUCUUUUGGCUUUUCCCCACAAAAGCAACCCAAGAACGUCUCUACUCCACGAUUAACAACUUCUGUUUGACCAUCCGUUUGUGGAUGAUACGCUGUACUGUGGUUCAACUUUGUUCCUGCCAAGCGAAAUAAUUCUCUCCAAAAGUGACUCAAGAAUACCUUGUCUCUAUCCGAGACAAUGGAUUUGGGAUAUCCGAAUGAUGCUGGAAUGCGUCAGGUUCCUUCUCUAUUAAAACCUGUGUGGAGAAUUCUUGACUCUCGAUUGAAGCCACAAUACAAUUGCCCUAAGAAAGUAGGAGUGCCAAGCUGCUUCGAGCUAGAAGGUGUCAGGGUUGCAUCGUCAACAGAACCUGCGUGGAAAACUCUCGACUGUCUCCUGAAGCCAUAAUUGCCCAUUGUAAGUAGGAGGGCCAAGACGCUUCGGGCCAGAUUACGUCGGAUUCCUUCGGUAUUAGAAAAUGCUUGGGGAACUCUUGGCUCUUGGUCGAAGCAACAUAACAAUCGCCCGGAGAAAGUAGGAGAGCCAAGCCGCUUCGGGCGAGAAUGCAUCGUAUUCUUUAGGUAUCAGAAACUGCAUGGGAACUCUCGACUCUUGGCCGAAGCCACAUUUCAAUCGCACAUAGAAAGUGGGAGAGCCAAGCCGCUUCAGGCCAGAAUGCGUCAAGUUCGUACGACAUCUGAAUUUGCUUUGGGAACUCUCGAUUCUCAACUGAAGCCACAAUACAAUCAAUCGUAGAAAGUAGGACAGCCAAGCCGCUUCGGGCCAGAAUGCGUAAAGUUCCUUUGGUAUCAGAAUCUUCUUGGGAACUGUCGAUUCUCAACUGAAGCCACAAUACAAUCACGCGUAGAAAGUAGGAGAGCCAAGCCGCCUCGAGCCAUAAUGCGUCAAGUUCCUUCGAUAUCAGAAUUGCGUGGGGAACUCUCGAUUCUCGAAGCAAAGGUCACAAUUCCUUCGCCCGUAUAAAGUAGGAGAGCCAAGCCUCUUCGGACAAGAAUGCAUCUGGUUCCUUUGGUAUCAGAAACUGCGUGGGAAACUCUUGACUCUUGGUCGAAGCCACAUCAAAAUUUCUCGUAGAAAGUAGGAGAGCUAAGUCACUUCAUGCCAGAAUGCAUCGGGUUCGUUCGGUAUUAAAAAAUGCAUGGAUCUACAUUAUAAUCACCCAUAGAAAGAAGGGGAGCGAAGUCGAUUUGGGCUAGAAUGCAUCAGGUUUCUUCUCUAUUAAAACUGUGUGGAGAACUCUGGACUCUCGGCUGAAGCCACAAUAAAAUUGCCUUAAGAAAGUAGGAGAGCCAACUUGCUUCAGACAAGAAUGCAUCGGGUUGCAACGAUAUUAGAACAUGCGUGCGGAACUCCCGACUCUCGCCUGAAGCCAUAAUCGCCCAUAGAAAGUUGGGGCAACAAAGCUGCUUCGGGCUAGAAUGCAUCGAAUUCUUUCAAUAUUAGAAACUGCGUAGGGAACUCUCGACUCUUGGUCGAAGCCACAUAACAAUUACCAGUGGAAAGUAGGAAAGCCAAGUCGCUUCGGGCCAGAAUGGAUCGGGUUCCUUCGCGGUAUUAGAAACUGCAUGGGGAACUCUCGACUCCUGGCCCAAGUCACAUUACCAUCGCCCAUAGAAAGUAGGAGAAGCAAGCCACUUCGAGCAAGAAUACAUCGGGUUCCUUUAGCGUCAAACCUAUGUGGGGAACUUUUGACUCUCGGUCGAAGCCACAUUACAAUCAUCCGUAGAAAUUAGGAGUGCCAAGCUGCUUCGAGCCAAAAUGGGUCAGUUCCUACGAUAUUAGAAAUUGUGUGGGAAACACUCGACUCUUGGCCCAAGCCAUAUUAAAAGCACACGUAGAAAGUAGGAGAGCCAAGCCACAUCAGACUAGAAUACGUUAGGUUCUUUUGAUAUCAAAACUGCGUGGGGAACUCUCGACUCUUGAUCGAAGCCAAAGUACAAUCGGCCGUAGAAAUUAGGAGAGCCAAGCCUCUUCGGGCAAGAAUGCAUCGGGUUCCUUCGAUAUUAGAAACUGCGUGGGAAACUCUCGACUCUCAAUUGAAUCCACUCUACAAUCACUCGUAGAAAGUAGGAGAGCCAAGCCGCUUUGUGCCUGAAUGUGUCAGGUUCCUUUGUUAUCAGAACUGCGUGGGGAUUUCUCGACUCUCGACAGAAGCCCCAAUACAAUCCCCCGUAGAAAAUAGUAGAGCCAAGCCGCUUUUGGCCAAAAUUCAUUAAGUUCCUUCGGUACAAAAACUGCAUGGGGAACUCUCGACUCUUGGCCGAAGCCACAUUUCAAUCGCACGUAGAAAGGAGAGCCAUGCCAUUUCGUGGUAGAAUGCGUCAGGUUCCUUCGGUAUCAAAACUUUUGUGGGGAACUCUCGACUUUCGAUAGAAGCCCCAAUACAAUCCCCCGUAGAAAAUAGUGGAGCCAAGCCGCUUUGGGCCAAAAUUCAUUAAGUUCCUUCGGUACAAAAACUGCAUGGGGAACUCUCGACUCUUGGUCGAAGCCACAUUACAAUCGCCCGUAGAAAGUAGGAGAGCCAAGCCGCUUUAGGCCAUAAUGCGUCGGGUUCCUUCGGUAUCAAAACCUAUAUAGGAAACUCUCGACUCGCAAUCGAAGCCAUAAUCGUCCGUAGAAAGGAGAGACAUGCUGCUUCGGGCAAGAAUGCAUCGGGUUCUUUCGGUAUAAGAAAAUGCGUGUGGAGCUCUGGGCUCUUGGCCGAAGCCACAUUACAAUCGCUCGUAGAAAGAAGUAGAGCAAAGCCGAUCCAGGCUAGAAUGUGUCGGGGUCCUUCUAUAUUAAAACUUGUGUGGAGAACUCUAGACUCUCGUCUGAAGCUACAAUACAACUGCCCUAAGAAAAGAGGAGAGCGAAGCCGCUGUGGGCUAGAAUGCAUCGAGUUGCAUCGAUACUAGAACCUGCGUCGGGAACUUCUGACUCUCGCCUGAAGCCAUAAUCGCCCUUAGAAAGUAGGAGAUCCAAGCCGCUACGGGCUUGAAUUUCUUUGGUAUUAGAAAUUGCAUGGGGAACUCUCGACUCUUGGCCGAAGCCACAUAAAAAUCGCUCGUAGAAAGUAGGAGUGCCAAGCCGCUUUGGGCUAGAAUGGAUUGGGUUCCUUCGAUAUUAUAAAUUGCGUGGGGAACUCUCGACUCUUGGCCCAAGCCAUAUUACAAUCACCCGUAGAAAGUAGGAGAGCCAAGACGCUUCGAGCCAGAAUGCAUAAAGUUUCUUGGCUAUAUGAAUUUGUUUUUUGCACUUUCGACUCUCAACUGAACCCACUAUACAAUCACUCGUAGAAAGUAAGAGAGCCAAGUCGCUGCAAACCAAAAUGCGUCGGUUUCCUUCGGUAUCGAAACCUAUAUAGGAAACUCUCGACUCUCGAUGAAGCCAUAAUCAUUCGUGGAAAGUAGGAGAGCCAUGCCGUUUCGGGCCAGAAUGCGUCUAGUUCCUUCGAUAUCAAAAAAUGCGUGCGGAACUCUCGACUCUUGGUCAGAGCUAUAUUAUAAUCGCACGUAGAAAGUAGAAGAGCCAAGCUGCUUCGAGCUAGAAUGCGUCAAGUUUCUUUGGUAUCAGAAUCUGCUUUGCGAACUCUCGACUCUCAACUGAAUCCAGAAUACAAUCAGUCGUAGAAAGGAGAGCCAUGCCAUUUCGUGGUAGAAUGCGUCAGGUUCCUUCGGUAUCAAAACUUUUGUGGGGAACUCUUGACUUUCGACAGAAGCCCCAAUACAAUCCCCCGUAGAAAAUAGUGGAGCCAAGCCGCUUUGGGCCGAAAUUCAUUAAGUUCCUUCGGUACAAAAACUGCAUGGGGAACUCUCGACUCUUGGUCGAAGCCACAUUACAAUCGCCCGUAGAAAGUAGGAGAGCCAAGCCGCUUUAGGCCAUAAUGCGUCGGGUUCCUUCGGUAUCAAAACCUAUAUAGGAAACUCUCGACUCGCAAUCCGUUUAUGGAAGGCUGUAACAUUUUACCGUUUAAGAAACAAAUAUAGGAAAGAUGGUCAUUCAUGAUCAAUAUACAGAUGUUCUUCCAAAAGUUAUUGCUACUGGCUCUACUGGGUCUACAGAGCUCCAAAUUUCUUACACUCAUGAAGCCAGCUUAAACAGAACUGAUACUUAAUAUUUUUACUAGCUACAAUUUUAUGCAACAAUAUCUCUUCUUGCUUAGAGAAGGUCCCAUAUCAUUUUUAGAUAAAAUGUCCACGUUUCUCUUUGUAAUUUGGUGUAUUGAGAGAUUUUGUAUUUUUCUUGUAGCUUGUUUCUCCAAAUUAUAGAGAGGUGUCCAUUUUCCAAAUUCUUUCACAUGGGAUAAAACACUAGUGUAGUUUAGGUUUAACUAUGUAAAGUUUCUUUUUCUAUACCAUAUUUUACGGUGGACUCGAAGUGCUUUCCUAUUAGCAUAUGUGCUGUACUGUUUGUUCAAGCUCACUCAUUUUCCCAACUUUUCACCUGACUAAAGCACAUGAAAUCAACAGUAUUAUCAAGGUAUCCAGUGAAUUAAAUUUGCCUUACGUCUGGUUUAGGAGGUGUAAUAUCAAGGUAUCCAGUGAAUUAAAUUCAUGAAGUUACAACUGUUGGUUGUAGUCCCCCUUUUUCGCGGUUUUACAUUUGUGUAUUUGAUGGAACCCGUAGAUGAAAAUAGUAAUUCGACAUUAUUGAUUGAAAUAAUAGAAAAACAAAUUUUUGUUUCCCUCUCUCUCAAGGAAUAACAGAAAGAUACUGAAUUCCAAAAAACUCAAAAACGGACUCUCCCGCCCUUUAACAAACUUAUUUAUAUUGCUACCCUUCUCAUCACUCACACGUGCCUCACCCUCACGUGUUAUUUCUUAUUUUCUCUCCUCUUGUACUGAUAUAAUAUUGGUGGUCUAUCAUUACUCUCCUUCUCCAAAUUCACCUUGUCCUCAAGGUGAAAAUCUGGAAAACGCUGCUUCAAAUCCUCAUAUAACUCCCAAGUAGCCUCGUAUUGUGGAAGACCCUUCCACUGCACCAACACAUCCCAACUUCCCGCUUUGUUUUUCGAAUAACCAUAAACCUCUUCUGGGAUAUCUCUCCAUUCAUGAUUUUCAAUUAAACAUGGAACAUCAUUCCUGUCUUCCUCGUGCUCUCCUAUUACUUUCUUUAGCUGAGAUACAUGAAAUACUAGAUGUAUGGUAGAAUUCCCUGGUAGUUCUAGCUUGUAAGCUACCUGACCAAUUUUAGCUAUCACUAUGUGGUCCAAAGAAUUUAGGAGAGGGCUUUUCAUUUCUUUUUCUUCUAACAGUCACUUGCCGAUAUGGUCUUAUCUUUAACAAUACCAAAUCCCCAACUUGGUAAUGAACUUCUCUUCUCUUCAUGUCUGCAUACUUCUUCAUUUUGUCAUGUGCAAUUCUCAAAUGUUUCCGUAGAGCUCCUAACACCACAUCUCUUUCCUUCAACUAUUCAUCUAAUGUGGAGUUAGUAGUGUCCCUCUCCCCAUAGUAUUCCAAAGGAGGUGGCAAAUGCCCGUAUACAGCCUGAAACAGUGUGACUCCUAUUGCACGCUGAUAUGUAGUGUUAUACCAGUAUUCCGCCCAAAGGAUCCAUUUAACCCAUUCUUUUGGCUUUUCCCCACAAAAGCAACCCAAGAACGUCUCUACUCCACGAUUAACAACUUCUGUUUGACCAUCCGUUUGUGGAUGAUACGCUGUACUGUGGUUCAACUUUGUUCCUGCCAAGCGAAAUAAUUCUCUCCAAAAGUGACUCAAGAAUACCUUGUCUCUAUCCGAGACAAUGGAUUUGGGAUAUCCGAAUGAUGCUGGAAUGCGUCAGGUUCCUUCUCUAUUAAAACCUGUGUGGAGAAUUCUUGACUCUCGAUUGAAGCCACAAUACAAUUGCCCUAAGAAAGUAGGAGUGCCAAGCUGCUUCGAGCUAGAAGGUGUCAGGGUUGCAUCGUCAACAGAACCUGCGUGGAAAACUCUCGACUGUCUCCUGAAGCCAUAAUUGCCCAUUGUAAGUAGGAGGGCCAAGACGCUUCGGGCCAGAUUAUGUCGGAUUCCUUCGGUAUUAGAAAAUGCUUGGGGAACUCUUGGCUCUUGGUCGAAGCAACAUAACAAUCGCCCGGAGAAAGUAGGAGAGCCAAGCCGCUUCGGGCGAGAAUGCAUCGUAUUCUUUAGGUAUCAGAAACUGCAUGGGAACUCUCGACUCUUGGCCGAAGCCACAUUUCAAUCGCACAUAGAAAGUGGGAGAGCCAAGCCGCUUCAGGCCAGAAUGCGUCAAGUUCGUACGACAUCUGAAUUUGCUUUGGGAACUCUCGAUUCUCAACUGAAGCCACAAUACAAUCAAUCGUAGAAAGUAGGACAGCCAAGCCGCUCCGGGCCAGAAUGCGUAAAGUUCCUUUGGUAUCAGAAUCUGCUUGGGAACUGUCGAUUCUCAACUGAAGCCACAAUACAAUCACGCGUAGAAAGUAGGAGAGCCAAGCCGCCUCGAGCCAUAAUGCGUCAAGUUCCUUCGAUAUCAGAAUUGCGUGGGGAACUCUCGAUUCUCGAAGCAAAGGUCACAAUUCCUUCGCCCGUAUAAAGUAGGAGAGCCAAGCCUCUUCGGACAAGAAUGCAUCUGGUUCCUUUGGUAUCAGAAACUGCGUGGGAAACUCUUGACUCUUGGUCGAAGCCACAUCAAAAUUUCUCGUAGAAAGUAGGAGAGCUAAGUCACUUCAUGCCAGAAUGCAUCGGGUUCGUUCGGUAUUAAAAAAUGCAUGGAUCUACAUUAUAAUCACCCAUAGAAAGAAGGGGAGCGAAGUCGAUUUGGGCUAGAAUGCAUUAGGUUUCUUCUCUAUUAAAACUGUGUGGAGAACUCUGGACUCUCGGCUGAAGCCACAAUAAAAUUGCCUUAAGAAAGUAGGAGAGCCAACUUGCUUCAGACAAGAAUGCAUCGGGUUGCAACGAUAUUAGAACAUGCGUGCGGAACUCCCGACUCUCGCCUGAAGCCAUAAUCGCCCAUAGAAAGUUGGGGAGCAAAGCUGCUUCGGGCUAGAAUGCAUCGAAUUCUUUCAAUAUUAGAAACUGCGUAGGGAACUCUCGACUCUUGGUCGAAGCCACAUAACAAUUACCAGUGGAAAGUAGGAAAGCCAAGUCGCUUCGGGCCAGAAUGGAUCGGGUUCCUUCGCGGUAUUAGAAACUGCAUGGGGAACUCUCGACUCCUGGCCCAAGUCACAUUACCAUCGCCCAUAGAAAGUAGGAGAAGCAAGCCACUUCGAGCAAGAAUACAUCGGGUUCCUUUAGCGUCAAACCUAUGUGGGGAACUUUUGACUCUCGGUCGAAGCCACAUUACAAUCAUCCGUAGAAAUUAGGAGUGCCAAGCUGCUUCGAGCCAAAAUGGGUCAGUUCCUACGAUAUUAGAAAUUGUGUGGGAAACACUCGACUCUUGGCCCAAGCCAUAUUAAAAGCACACGUAGAAAGUAGGAGAGCCAAGCCACAUCAGACUAGAAUACGUUAGGUUCUUUUGAUAUCAAAACUGCGUGGGGAACUCUCGACUCUUGAUCGAAGCCAAAGUACAAUCGGCCGUAGAAAUUAGGAGAGCCAAGCCUCUUCGGGCAAGAAUGCAUCGGGUUCCUUCGAUAUUAGAAACUGCGUGGGAAACUCUCGACUCUCAAUUGAAUCCACUCUACAAUCACUCGUAGAAAGUAGGAGAGCCAAGCCGCUUUGUGCCUGAAUGUGUCAGGUUCCUUUGUUAUCAGAACUGCGUGGGGAUUUCUCGACUCUCGACAGAAGCCCCAAUACAAUCCCCCGUAAAAAAUAGUGGAGCCAAGCCGCUUUGGGCCAAAAUUCAUUAAGUUCCUUCGGUACAAAAACUGCAUGGGGAACUCUCGACUCUUGGUCGAAGCCACAUUACAAUCGCCCGUAGAAAGUAGGAGAGCCAAGCCGCUUUAGGCCAUAAUGCGUCGGGUUCCUUCGGUAUCAAAACCUAUAUAGGAAACUCUCGACUCGCAAUCGAAGCCAUAAUCGUCCGUAGAAAGGAGAGACAUGCUGCUUCGGGCAAGAAUGCAUCGGGUUCUUUCGGUAUAAGAAAAUGCGUGUGGAGCUCUGGGCUCUUGGCCGAAGCCACAUUACAAUCGCUCGUAGAAAGAAGUAGAGCAAAGCCGAUCCAGGCUAGAAUGUGUCGGGUUCCUUCUAUAUUAAAACUUGUGUGGAGAACUCUAGACUCUCGUCUGAAGCUACAAUACAACUGCCCUAAGAAAAGAGGAGAGCGAAGCCGCUGUGGGCUAGAAUGCAUCGAGUUGCAUCGAUACUAGAACCUGCGUCGGGAACUUCUGACUCUCGCCUGAAGCCAUAAUCGCCCUUAGAAAGUAGGAGAUCCAAGCCGCUACGGGCUUGAAUUUCUUUGGUAUUAGAAAUUGCAUGGGGAACUCUCGACUCUUGGCCGAAGCCACAUAAAAAUCGCUCGUAGAAAGUAGGAGUGCCAAGCCGCUUUGGGCUAGAAUGGAUUGGGUUCCUUCGAUAUUAUAAAUUGCGUGGGGAACUCUCGACUCUUGGCCCAAGCCAUAUUACAAUCACCCGUAGAAAGUAGGAGAGCCAAGACGCUUCGAGCCAGAAUGCAUAAAGUUUCUUGGCUAUAUGAAUUUGUUUUUUGCACUUUCGACUCUCAACUGAACCCACUAUACAAUCACUCGUAGAAAGUAAGAGAGCCAAAUCGCUUCGUGCCAGAAUGCAUCAGGUCCUUCUAUAUCAGAACUGCGUGGGAAAAUCUUGACUUUCGACAGAAGCCACAAUACAAUCGCCCGUAGAAAGUAGGAGAGCCAAGCUGCUUUAGGCCAGAAUGCGUCGGGUUGCUUCGGUAUCAAAACCUAUAUGGGAAUCUCUCGACUCCCCACUGAAGCCAUCAUCGUCCAUCUUAAGUAGGAGAGUCAUGUCGCUUCGGGGCAGAAUGCAUCGAGGUCCUUCGGUUUAAGAAAAUGCGUGAGGAACUCUCGGCCCUUGGGCCAAGCCGCAUUAAAAUCACACACAGAAAGUAAGAGACCCAAGCCGAUGUGGACUAAAAUGCGUUGGGUUCUUUCGAUAUCAGAACGGCGUGGGAACUCUCGACUCUUGACUAAAGCCAUGGUAUAAUAUCCCGUAGAAAUUAAGAGAGGGAAACCGACAUCUCUCAUACCACUAGGAAUUUUAGUCCAAGUGCAAUUCUUGUUGGAAUUUUUUGUCCUAAAACUCGUAGUUUGUGAAUCAUAUUCUGUUCAAUAAAGUUGUUAUUGAGAAAUUAAAUAUUAUAAUCUUAAAUCCAAUAAAUCAAGUUCCAAGGCUAUUUUUUUAAUAAACUUGAACUUUAUGUGUAAACAUAAACGUGGAUCAAGUUCGAGUAUAUAGCCUAAAUAGUCUAUAGUAUAUGAAAUAAAGGUUGGGCGCCUUAUUUUGAGAAACUAUGGAUGCGGCCCACUUUGUAGUACAAACGAUGUGAUCCUAAUCGUUCAUGUAGAGACAUGAAAGUGGGGGCAUCCUAUGUAAAAUGUUUACAUAAGACUGAACCAUGAAUUAGUCAUUUUUACGUUAUAACACCGUUUACUGUUUAAAACUGACUAUCUCAAUUAUUGAUGACCUAGGUAACUCAGUCUUAAUCCUGAGUUAACUAUGAACUCCUGUUCACACGAGAUUAUCCUUAGAUCUGCAUAGGUGAGGGCAGCUCAUCAGCGUUGGCCCAAUAAGCCUCCCAUUUCAGGGGUAAGAUCGGGUGGAUAGCUGGGAACAUAGGGUACAAGAUGGAAUUCACUCCUACCCGCUUUAGGGUUAGUAGAUAGGUUGCUCUCUUAAGCACUGAAUCCAAGUCUUGAACAAGGGGCCCCACCCUCUCAUUGGCCCGAGAGGGAUUAAGUUUAUAGGUUGAACCUUAAACCAAUUGUUCAAUAGUGGAUUAGUGGGACUUAAGGAGCAAGAUGUAAUCUUGGGGGUAAAACGGUAUUUUGACCCAGCCAAGGUUACGAGCAACCUGUGAAGGAUUAACUUACUGAUUAUGGUUUUAUCAAAUGGACACAAAUAUAUCUAUAGUGAGGGGAGUGCAACUACGGGACUUUAGUGGAAUGACCCGUUAGUUAACGAAUGUUGAUUAACUCGGUUUAAAAGAGUUUAGCUAGUUAAUCUUGAAUCGUUGGAGCCCAUGAUCUAUAGGUCCAUUAGGUUCCUAUGCUAGCUCAUAUGGAUUAAACUUAGAACAGUGUGAUGAAAUAAGUCGAAUUGUUCGAAUUGGGAGAAGAAAGGGAAACCGACAAAUAUAGUGAUAUAGUCGUCGGUCUUCUAAUUAGAAAUAGAGCUUUAUGUUUUACAUACUAUAAGUAUGAAUGCGGAUUCAUACUAAGAAGCUCGGAAUUGGUCAAAAAUAGUAAAAAGUCAAAAUGUUGACUUUUGACUUUGAAAAGUCAAACUUUGACCGACCUUAUAUUCAAAUGUGAUUUGAAUUUUGGAAAAAUGAAUGCGGAUUCAUGCUCGGGAGGUUGGAAUUAGUCAAGACGGACAAAAUGGUAAAAAGUCAAAAUAUUGACUUUUGACUAAGAAAAGUCAAAGUUUGACUUUUGACUAGAAAUAUCUAAUGACCAUUUUACCCUUGGACUAAGUUAGUGGGAAAAUCCAACAUUUUGUUGGAUAAUCCCACUAACUCUUAGUGGGAUAUGUGGCUAUAUGAGAUAUAGACACCUAGCCCACUAAGUUCAACUAAUUGUUAGUGGAACAUUAGGUGUUGAGAUUUGGCAAAUGAAUUGCAUGCAUUUUUGCAUGCAAUUAGGCUAUAAAUAGAGGUGUUUUCAAAUGUUGAAGAACUUUUGCCUCUUUUAUCAUUUUCAUCAUCUCAACAAAAGAAAAAAAAAAAACUUCCAAUCUCAUUUUAUCUCCAUUAUUUUCUACACCAAAAUUGGGUCCCACAACCCAGUUCUUUGUCUAGAGGAUAGCAGUUGAGUACUAGUGGUGGUCUCGAGUAGAAUUGGUAAGAAGACAUCAAACCUUUUGAAAGCUUCAAAGGUAAUACUUCUUAAAACCCUAAUUUGAUUAGUUUAUGGUUACAUGUUAAUUGUGGCAAUUAGGGUAGAAAUUCGAUUCUUUUUCCGCUGUGCAUGACUUAGUUCUAUCAUGUGGUAUCAGAGCAUGCUUCAUUUUUACCCAAUUGCAUGUGGUGGGUUCAUAUUUAUUAGAUAAAUUUUGGUUUGAACUAAAAUGGAUAUAUUAUGAUUUUGGCUCUAGAUUAAGUGUUUUUGUUCUAAUUAUUGUAAUUAGCCUUGUUAAUGGAUUAUUUUUAUUGUUGCAAAGUGUUUGUAAUUUUUAAAAAAAUAAAAAAAGUCAUUAGAGUUGAAGCUAGGCUGUAAUUGGUUCAACCGGGUGAGAGAAUUGAAAAAAAUGAAGAAAAGAAGGUCACAGACCCGAAAACCCGGCCUUGACCCGCUUCGCGACCCGCACGCGCCCUCCUGCAUCCGCACGCGCCCGCGCGCCCUCCUGCGCCCGCGCGCCUGCCUUCGCCCGACCCGUGUGCGCCUGGGCCGGUUCAAGCCAAUAAAUUUGGUUUUUGGGCCGGUUCAAGCGAUUUCGGUUGGUUUUUCAGCCGGUUCGAAGUUUUUGGAAGUGGUUCUGUACUACACCAAAUUAAUUAUGUAAUAAUUUAGUACUUAGCUUAAGUUAGGAGCCAAAAAAUCAGUCCAUUUUAGGGUGUUUUUUUUAUUUGUGCAUGUGAUGUAUGAUUAAAUUACUUUAAAUUUGUAUGUGCAUUUUGAAUGUCAUAUAGAUUUAAAAUCCCACCAUAGGUUAACAUGUUCAUGCAUUAAAAUG